UUCCAUAGGGGCUUUCCUCAUAGAUUACUACAACCUCCCUCCAAUUAUAGUUUUUAACAAUUGCUGCAAUGGCUUUAGUCUGACUGGAAGAAGGAAGUGCUCCUCUGAUGAAGAAGGGAUUUUCCUUGACUGUAAGUAAAGGACUUGUUGCUGGAGAAAUUAUAGGGACUUUUACUCUGUUCCCUAAGUCGAUCACAAAAUCAGUUUGAGUAGACAUUUGUGGCCCAAAGAUAGCUUGCACUUGGACAUCCUUUAGCAAGUAUAUGGCUGCACAUACACAAUCAGACUUAUAAGUAAUUGUCUGAACAUCUNNNNNNNNNNNNNAAAUUUAUUUGUGAAAUUUGCAUAAAUAGCAAUCUUUUUUAUUUUAAGAUGAGUGGAACUUUUUUUUUUUUUGGCUUUUUCUAAUUGUUAAUCUUAUAUAUUUUUUAAAUUUAUUUGUGAAAUUUGCAUAAAUAGCAAUCUUUUUUAUUUUAAGAUGAGUGGAACUUUUUUUUUUUUUGGCUUUUUCUAAUUGUUAAUCUUAUAUAUUUUUUAAAUUUAUUUGUGAAAUUUGCAUAAAUAGCAAUCUUUUUUAUUUUAAGAUGAGUGGAACUUCUUCUUUUUUUUUUUGCCUUUUCUAAUUGUUAAUCUUAUAUAUUUUUUAAUUUAUUUGUGAAAUUUGCAUAAAUAGCAAUCUUUUUUAUUUUAAGAUGAGUGGAACUUCUUCUUUUUUUUUUUGCCUUUUCUAAUUGUUAAUCUUAUAUAUUUUUUAAUUUAUUUGUGAAAUUUGCAUAAAUAGCAAUCUUUUUUAUUUUAAGAUGAGUGGAACUUCUCUUCUUUUUUUUUUUUUGCUUUUUCUAAUUGUUGAUCUUAUAUUUUUUUAAUUAAUUUUUAUUUGUGAGGUUUGCAUAAAUAGCCGAAGAGGUUCAAACCCACAACUCUAGCAUGGGAAAGCAUUCCCAAGACCCCUUCCUUACCACUAAGCCAUCAAUUAGUUUUGCUAAGGGGUUCACAAGUUAAUAUACAUAUAUAUUUAUUUAAUUUUUUAAUACAAGUAUAGAGUUUACAUAAAAGCUAUUGGGUUCGCCCGAACCCCCACUAAGAUAGGCAUAAAAGUAUCAAUACAUUUAUUUUUAUGAAGGUAAAUACCAUUAGAUGUAACUUUUCAAGAAUGAAAACAUGUAUUAAAACAAAACUGAAAAGAGUAAUAACAUAAGUGAGAAAAAAAGACAAGAAAUGUAGAGAGACAAGAGAGAGUUUUCUUAUUCUUCCAAGUAUAUUCAAGUGUUUUCCAAAUCUUCAAGUGCAUAAUACAAUCUCAAGACCUCUAUUUAUAUUGUUAUAAAAAGACAUACAAAGAGAUAACAAUAAACAUGAUAUUAAUUUUUGAGAAUGUAGGGAAGAUCAAGGGGUGUAGAAGAUAAAUGAGGAGAUGGUGAAGGUGUGAGUAUUAUUACAUAUAAUGGUGAAAUUACACCUUGAAGUUAUGGACAUCCACAUUAAUAUAAUAUAUUUACAACAAAACAUUAAUUACAUAUAAAUUAUAACUAAAUUAAAAAUGAUGAGAAAAACAUAAAAAUGCCCCCAAAAAAGGAGAAAAAAAUUAAAUAUGAAUAGAGAUCAUAGAGAGGUGUCACGUCACUUUGUCUAUAUCUAGCUUUAUUUUUAUUUUAUAUAUAUAUAUAUAUAUAUAUAUAAGAAUAGAGGUCAUAGCCUAUAUCUAGCUUUAUUAUAUAUAUAGAUUUUUCUUCAGUUUUUGUUGGUUUUCUCUUUUUAAAUUUAUUUAUGUAAUACGUAAUAAUAAUAAUAAUAAAAGAGCCUUAUUUUCCCCCAAUUUUCAUUGGUUUUUUCUUUUUUAAAAUUUAUUUAUGUAAAUAUAUUCUUUUUAAAAUUUAUUUAUGUAAUUUUAUUUUUUUUGGAAUAUUUUUAUAUCUAUUAUAUUUUUAAUAGCUCAAAAAAUAUUAAUUCAAUUGAAUGAAAAGAGAAAAUCGGGUUAUUUUAAUCAAAAUUGAACAAUUUGAGUUGAUUUGGGGCUUUCCGUCAAAUGAGGGGUAUAUAUGGUGAAAUUAGUAACGGUAGGGAAAAAACUAACUUCACUUUAACGGUAAAAGCAUAGUUUACCAAUAAAACAAAAUUAAGGGGUGUUUUUGACCCUUUUCCCUUAUCUUUUUCAUAGGUAGCAGUGGAUACUGGAUACAUUUGUUAAAGUCAUAUACUCAAUAAUAUAGUAAUUUUUGUUUAUAUUUUUUAUGAACUAAUGAAAUUGCAAGAAUUAUCACUUAAUAAGCGAGUUUUCAAUUUUUGUUCUUCAACGGUCGAAUUUAUAUCUAGUAAAAUAUAUAUUCUGUAAAGGAGAAAAGUCAUGUAAGGCAUAAGUUGCGGAUAUUAUAAUGCAAGUAUGUAUAUAUAUAUAUCAGAAAAUAAUUUAUCUUGAACACAAAAAUUAAAAAUUAGCACAAAAUAAGGACAAAAGUGCAAUAUUUGUAUAUAUAUGUGUUAUCUGAAAGUUAUUUAUCUUGAACACAAAAAUUAAAAAUUAGCACAAAAUAAGGACAUAAGUGCAAUAUAUGUAUAUAUAUGUGUUAUCAGAAAGUUAUUUAUCUCGAACACAAAAACUAAAAAUUAGCACAAAAUAAGGUCAAAAGUGCAAAAAUUUUAUACUUUCGCUCUCCCGACUCAAGCUAAUACGUUAAAAAUUAAUGGAAAAAUUAUACAAAAUAGUAAAUAUUUAGCCUGUAUUAGGUGAUAUAGCUAUAGUUUUAGAAAAUUGUAAUUUGCGGCUAUAAUUUUUUCAAUUCUUGCUAUUGACCUGAUUUGUAUAAUUCGCAUAAUUUGUAUAAAUCUAGAAUUUGUAUAAUUCGGUUCCUGAUAGUAAAAAUCCAGAAUUUUGUAUAUGUUUACCCUAGUUAUUUGUAUACGAUUUAUUAUUUAUAAUAAAUUACCUUGUUUGUAUAUUGACAAGCGAAAUAUAUAAAUGGAGUUCUGAAAAAUUCAUAAAUGUAUAAUACAUAAUUUGUAUAUAUUUAUCCUAUUGGUAUAUUCGCAAGCGAAAUAUACAAACCACAGCCUCCAUAUCAAACAGAACUAUAGCUAUGGAGCGCAGUUAUUAGAGCUUUAUUAUGUUUGCUAUUUCUAAAAUUUUCUCAAAAUUAAAAUAGACUAUGUUUUUCGGUCUUAUUUCAAUAGGCUCAUAUGGUAUAUAAUUUGAAAGCCUAGGUUUUUUUUGUUUUUUUAUAUCAAUAUUCUUUCAACUUAGCCGAUUGACAAUUAAUUAAAUCGAUGACAAAACUAUUGAUUUCGUAAAUUUGAGUGAUGAAAAUCAAAUUAGAAAAGUAACUAACAAAUGAAAUAUUUUAUGUUAGUGAAUGAAUGAAAUUAUAGGCUUCUUAAUUACAAGAUUUGGAUAAUUUUCUUUCUUUUGAAUUAAUUUUUAAAGUGUGAGUUGUACUCAAAAUCUAAUUUAACAUGACAUUAAAGACAAACCUGAUGUGGGCUCCCAGGAAACCAAACAAUUGCGGAGGUGGAAAUUAUUUUCUAUUCAUGAAUGUGAGCAUGUGACACACCGAAUUGGAUCAUGAAAUCUCAUAUAAAGAAUUUGGAUUUGUACGGUAUAUAUGAGGAUAAUAAUGAAAGAAAUGUCUCACAUCAAUGAUAAAUAAAAUCCUAAGCUUCGUUGUUCAACAAGUGAAUUCAAAUUUUUAGAUUCUUUAAUAUCUUGAUGUUAAACUAAAAAAUAUUGGUUUAUAAUUACUCUUAAUUAUUUAAUUUUUUGUCGGUUUGCUUCACGGGUGAGCAUGUAUAAUUAAUUACUAGUGUACUUGUCCGCGCUUCGCGUGUGUAUAAGAAAAUAUUAAAUAUAUUUUUAAAUAAUUAAUGCCAUUAUUUGAUAAAUAUUCUUAUAAAUAAUAUAAUAAAAGGGAGAAAUACAAAUUAAGUUACGAUUCUGAUAUUAUCUAUUCAGAAAAAUUGUUAAAAAAGUUUCAUGCUACAGUUUCAAUUUAAAAUUGCUGAUAAAAAAGAUGAAAAUAUAAAAAUUGAUAUGAAAAGCUUUAGUUAAAUAAACAAUCUAAUUAUCAUAGUUUCAUACUAAAUUUCAUGAUUUUAUAGCAAUAUUAUUGAUUCAACCAUUAAUAUUAAAUCUACUUUAUCGUAAAUUAUGUGACUUUUCUUUUUUUGUAUAAAUGACUAUAUAAUAGAAACAAGAAAAUCAAAAUAUAUUUGUGCUAAAAUCAUCGUGAGGGAAAAAAUAUUUUGAAUUAUAUUCGAACAUAGUUAUACACAAAAUUCAAAAGUUAGAGAUUUUUUUUCGAUAUCCGAUGCUCAUUUUUUUUUUGAUAUCCGAUGCACGUAGUGACACUCAUUUGAUACAUAUUUGUGUCGCAUAAGAUCCAUUAAUAUUUUAAUUUAUAUUUAAACUUUCAUUCUUAUAGUGUGCAUUGUGAAAAGAGAUACUUAAGUUGCUACAGUGAAACAUUACCGUUGAGGUUAUACUUUUACAAUAAAAAUAAAAUAAAAUUAAACACAUAAUUUUGUCGUAUUAAGAUUAUCAGAUAGCGAUGAAGAAAUAUUUUUUUUUAAAAAAAAAUGAGUAUGUAGUGUUCAAGAUGUAGAAAAAGUAUCAAGAGUUAGAUAAAUUUUUUCAAUUUAUAUAUAUAUAUGGGACAAUAAAAGUUUAACAACAUCAAAAUAAUUAUUCCUAUUAUUACAAUAUUAUUGUUGUAAUUAUUAUAAAUAAAUUGGAGCAAUAACUCUCCAAAAGAUAACUCCAUUUUUUGUAUGUGGGAAAAUAAAAUAAUUUUUUUACUUUUCAAUAAUAAUAAAUUUUAAACACAAAUUUGUUAUUAAGAGAAUCAAAUGAUGAAAUUUAAAAAAUUUACUUGAUAAAUAAGAGAGUUGAAUAAAUUAUUUUUUAGUAUAUAUAUAUAUACACACACACUUGAUUAUUUUUAGGGAAAAGGGUCAAAAAUAUCCUCAAUUUUAGUUUAUUAGUUAAAUAUACCCCUAUCGUUGAAACAAAGUUAUUCAUACCAUCACCGUUACUAAUUUCUCCAUUUAUACCCCUCAAUUGACGGAAAUCCCUAAAUCAAACAAAAUUGACUCGAUUUCUUAAAAAAUGACUCAUUUUCCAUUUUAAAACCAUGUCCGACCCAUCUAUCUAUCUUAAACCCAAAAGAAUUUAACCCAUUUUCUAUACCCAUUCUAAAAAGAAAAUUCAUUUGGAGCUACUUCUCCAAUUGCGUUUUAGGUGACAAAAAAGUGUUGAAAUGUAAAAAGAGUGACUCUAGUUUUAAUUAUUAAGUGUAGGUGACAAAUUUUUAAUCAAUUUUUAACAAUAAUUAAAUAAGUCCUCAAGUUUUUGUUUUUACACUUUCAUUUUUUGGAGCAAUAAUUUUGUUNNNNNNNNNNNNNNNNNNNNNNNNNNNNNNNNNNNNNNNNNNNNNNNNNNNNNNNNNNNNNNNNNNNNNNNNNNNNNNNNNNNNNNNNNNNNNNNNNNNNNNUGACUUCAAAGACAUUGUCGAGCAGCACCUAAACACACAAAAAUCGAUCCGAUCUAAGCACUUUUAGACGAGUAUGAUGACUCUACUAAUGGAGGAAAGAGAAGAAGGAGAGUGGCAUCGUGGUCGGCCAUGGCCGUUUCCGAAGCAAACCGUUGUCGCCGGAGCUCGAAGCAGACAAUUGGAGAGAAUCAAAGACAUAUAUUUUACCCAAAUAAUUACAACAAAAAAAAUUAAACCAAUAAAAGAAAAUUCACAACCCCCACCCCCUGUAAUGUCUUCCUCAAAGAUCCUACUCAUUUGCAGAAACAUCUGCACACCCCAUCCUUCCCUCUAAUUUUUUUCUCCAAACUCUUCGAUUCGUUUUAGUGCGCACACACCUACACACUAUUUCUUUUUUCAUCAUUUUAGAGUAGUAUCUUUAUUCACUAUUAUUAGAAUUUAACUUUGUAAGGGAAUUGGUGAGAUAGGUAAAUGUGCUUCUCACAAAGAUGUCUGCUUUUUGCAGUCAUGAGAAGAGGCAGCGAUGAUGAUGUUCACUUUUUGAGUUAGCUGACUCUGGAAUUUGGGGAAAAUAAUUUAAAAGGAAGAGUAAAAAAAGUUUGUAGAAAUGGUGACUAAAGGGCAAGGAAAAUGAGUUAAAUUAUUUUGGGUUUAAGAUAGAUGGAUGGAUCAGGCAUGGGUUUAAAAUGGGGGAUGGGUCAUUUUUUAACAAAUCGGGUCAAGUUUGUUUGAUUUGGGGAUUUCUGUCAAUUGAGGGGUAUAAAUGGUGAAAUUAAUAACGACGAGGGUAUAAAUAACUUUGUUUUAACGGUAUGGGUAUAUUCAACUAAUAAACUAAAAUUGAGGGGUAUUUUUGACCCUUUUCCCAUAUUUUUAUAAUGCCUUUAUUUAUAGGAUAACAAUAUAAAAUAUCAAAUGAUAUCAUGAACAUGACUAUUAAUAUGAUUUAAGAGAUAUGAUCAAGUCAUGAAAGUAAGGAAAAUAAAGACAAUUAAAUAUCAAAUGAUAUUAUGAACAUAAUUAUUAAUAUAAUUUAGGAGUUAUGAUCAUCAAAAGUCAUGAAAAUAAAAACAAUUAAAAUUUUCUAUUAAAAAAUAUAAAUAAAUGAAGGAAUAUAAUUGACAUAUUCAGUUUUGUACAACAAUAAGAUAUAUAUAAAUAAGAAAAAUUAUCAAAAAAUGAGAAAAAAAGAAGAUAAAUAUGAUUCUUGGCCAAAAAAAUAUGUCACGUCACUUUUCUUUUAUCUAGAUAAUUUAUAUGUUGGUAAAAAAAGUAGAUUGAGAGAGAAAAACAAUUUUACUAAGUCGUUUAUAUCCUAAUCAAAUACUUUUGCAUUUUGAGUUCAGACCAGGUCAUAGCAGUAAUUUCUGAAAUUUCAAAAACUUAAGAACUUAUAACAAUAACAAUAAAAAAAAUUAAAAUAUGAAGAUCACAAAGUUACGUAUUAAUAGUUAAAAAAAAUUUAUGAAUUAAACUGUAUUUUGAAAAUUAAUUAACUUUAACAUUCUCAUAUUCUAUCAUUCAUCUAUUGGGCUAAAAAUACCCUUGAAGUAUUAGAAAAGGUCUAAAAAUACCCCUCCAUCCGCCUUUUUGGUCCAUCUCUAUCCUUAAAACUAACAGUCACUUUUAAAAAAAUUAUUAUUAUUAUUAUUUGUUACAUGUCAUUUUCUUAGUGGAUAAAUUAAAUCCCAGCCCAUUUAAUUUUCCCCUACCCACCCAUUGUAGUGAACAUGAUCAAACCCAAUUAGAAGACCCAUUAAAAAAUAAAUUGAUUGAGAUUUAAUUUAUCCAAUAGGAAAAUGACAUGUAAUAAAUAAUAAUAAUAAUAAUAAAAAAUUAAAAAGUGGUUGUUAGUUUUAAAGGUAGAGAUGGACCAAAAAAGUGGAUGGAGGGGUAUUUUUAGCCCAAUAGAUGAAUGAAUGGUAUUUUUAGACCUUUUCAAAUAAUUCAAGGGUAUUUUUGGCCCUUUUCUGUAAUUAAUAAAAAGUUGAUCCACAUAACUAUAAAAUUAUAUCUACAUACUUUCUUCAGUAGCAUACAUAUACAUGUAUAAGGGUGUAUAAAACCGAAUCGAAAACCUAACCAAACCGCAAACCGAGUCAACCCGGAAAAAAAACCCGAACUAGUGGUUUGGUUUUUGAAAAAAAAAACCCCGAACUAUAUUUGGGAUUGGUUUGGUUUUAACUAAAAAAAACCAACCCGACAUUAUAUAUAUAAUUUUAAAAUUUUAUUUUAUACAUAAAAAUAUUUACUUUGAUAUAAUUUUUAAAUAUUUCUUAUACUUUUUCAUAAUUUUUUAUCUUUUAUUAUAUUAUUUCAAGUUUUGAAACUUAGAAUUAUGAAUGGGCCAAUAAAAAUUAUAGUUCACAGAUGUUGGUAAUUGCCUAAUUAUAAUAAAGCUUAAAUCAAAAUUAAAUUAAUACUAAUGCAAAAAUAAAAUCAUUUCAACACGACAAUAAUAUUGAAUAUUUGUUCUUUAGUUUUACAUUGGUUUAGACAAUUAAAAUACAUAACCUAAUUUAAUUUCCUUUAAAUAUUUAGUCAUGUAACUAAUACUUAUUAAAUUUAUUUUUAGCAUGCUUUAGUACUUUUAAAUUAUGAUCAUUUUCAUUAUGACUUGUUAAUUUGCAAUAUUUGUUUUACACGAUUUCAUUAUUAUUAUUAUUUUUGUUGGAUAUUUUAGUGUCAUUAAUCAUAUUAUAUUGUAGUAUAUUUUUAAGAAACAUCUUAGAUAGUUGUAGUUUGGUAUGGCUAAAGAAAUAUUUGAAGUACAAGUAAAUUAUAUGUUUGUAUGAAUACUUUACCGAAACAACCCAAAAAACCGAAAAAACCUGAAAAACCCAAGGUUGAAAAACCCGAGUUUUAUUGGUUUGGUUUAUAAAUAUAAAAAUCCAACACAAAUGGUUUGGUUUGAUAUUUGAAAAACCCGAACCAACCCGACCAUGUACACCCCUAUACAUGUAUAUGUUAACUUCUUAUUCUACUUUGUUGAAUUAUAUCCUCAGCAUAAGUAGUGAAGACAAAACAAAGUAAUAAUAAAAUGACGGAAUGACCUGGGAGACCCAUGUACUUAGCUCCGUUUGUAAGUUGAACCCUCCUACUUAUCAAUUUGUCAACUGAACCCCUAAACCCAUCAGAACACAAUAUUUUAAACCCAUUUGACCAUUAACCGAACUUAUGUAGCAUUGAUAAUGCUGAGUUGGAAAAUUACGUAAUUACAUACGUUUGACAGUGAGUAAAUAAGGUAUUUUACAUUAAAAAUAUUUAAAUAAUAAUAAUCAAUUUAAAAAAAAUAAUUAAAAACCCAUCUUCCUCAACCAUCCCUCUCCAACCCCACUCCACCCCUCUCUCCUCCGUCCGAACCCAUAAACUCAUCAUAACACAAUAUUUUAAACCUCUUAGACCAUUGACUGAACUUAUGUAGCAUUGAUAAUGCUGAGUUGGGAAAUUACGUGAUUACAUGCGUUUGACAGCAAGUAAAUAAGGUAUUUUAAAUUAAAAAUAGAGUAAAGACAUAAAUACACCAUCAAAGUUGUCCCGUAUUUUCAUAAUGACACCUUAACUUUUAAAGUGUCCUAUCACACCACAGAACUAUUUAAUAUCUUUGUAAAUGGGCCAUUUUGACCCAUUCCCUCGUCUAUUUAGUGGCGCGUGUUGCUCACUCCCUAUGAUGAGAAAAGACCCGACCCGACCCUGUUCUUUGAAGAAAGUCAUUUCUCCUUUUCUUUUCUUAUUUCUCAACUUUCCCUAAAAUCUAAAGAAAUAGAAAAGUUUUCUCAACAACUUUAAGUAUGAGUGAAAUAGGUCUAAAAAUAGAGGAGAUUAGAUAAAGGAUUCAAUCCAAUUACUUUGGAAGUGGGUCCUGAAUCUUUGUUGCAUCAUUGCAGCUUCGAGGGAUCCUAAGUUUCCAUACACUAAGAACCAUUGAUUCUUAGGUGAAGUAAUACAAUGGCCGGUUUAAAACACGGGGCAAGAUCUAGUACAGGUGUAAGGGUUGAUUAACAUAUUAAGCAUGCAUGGAUUAAUACUUCUCUACACCGCAUAGAAUCUCAAUUUCCAGGAGCACACAACAUGAUGGAAGCGGAGCCCUCCCCAUUGGACAAAAUGAAAAAAUAAAUGUUAAUGCUGUUAUACCCCAUUUUAACUCGAGGUCAAAACGGUGUACGACAUUUUGGUGAUUUCCAAAUUAAUUAACUUAAGAAGUCGCCACCUAAUUAAUUACGGUGAAUUAGGACACCUAAAUAUUGAACUAAGUAAUACUAAAAUGACUUCAAUUAAAAGGUCUACUAAACUUAAGAUUCUAGGUAAGGGUUCUAAUUAUCCUAAAGGGAAGGGGUAAGGCAUCCUUUAAGAUCCAUUAAAGACGGUUACCGGCCAAACUUAGGUUAAUUAAUUUUAAAAGAAAGAUAUGAGUGUUAAAUAUUAAGUGAUUGAAUAACCAAGUUGGAAAACAUUUUUUACUUUAAAAGCACUUUUGCAAUUUAUUAGAAUGAAAAAGAUUUAAGAAAGAGUAAUUUCUUUAGAUCAAUUUAGACAAAUUCAUGGCUAAAAAAAGUAAUUAAAAAAAAAAAAAAAAAAAAAAAAGCAUUUGCUCAUUAACCGACAAGAUGCUCUCUUUAGAAAAAGUUUAAGAAAAAUAAGAGUUUAGAACAAUAUAUUUUUUCUUUGAAAGAUAUUGCCAAGUUUGAACAAAACUUAAUAAAUUAGUGAGUUUAAAAUGGUGCAAAAGAAGUGUUUUAAAAAAAAAAAGCUAAAGUAACUAUAAAGGUUGUUUCUAACUAAAGGUACCCAAACCCAAACAUCUAUAUUAAGUCAACUAUUAUGAAUCCGAACUAGAAAUAUAUAAAUCACACAAGCAAGUAUAAAUUGAAAGAAAACACAAACAAAUAAUGCAAAAUGUAAGUAGCGAUAGGUGACUCCAAGAUAGGACCACUUGUUUUGCUUGCAAUUUCGAAUGGUCAAAGAUGUAGUGAAGAUUCCAUGUGCGGGUGUGAGGAUAAUGUUGAGUCUAUGAGACUCGGUAAUUUGCUAGAGUCUUGAAUCAAAGACUCCAUUUUGCUCCAAAGUGUACAUGUAAAUAAAGAGAGGGUAAAAAAGAAUUGGUAAGACAAUUAAACCUUACUCGAUAUCGAAUAAACUAGAAAUAGAAUUGAGUUAAAUAGCAUAACGAAAAUACCAUCCAAAACAUGAAAACAUGCAAAUGCGAAACAAAUCUCAAAGCAAACUACUACGACGCCUUUAAGGCACAAAAAAAAACAAUACACAACCCCUCAUAUUUAAGCUACAAACGAACUACUCGUUAAAGACUUGAAUUUAAAAAAAAUACUUAUGCCAUAAGUUUUCCAGAUUUAUACAUGCUGUAAUACUAUUACUUAAACUAAAAAAAAUAAAAACAAAAUACAUACACAAUACAAUUAACAAAAGAGCACAAAACAUAAGUUAGUACUUGUAUGCAAAAAGUAAGUUGCACGAGAAUUCCUACAGACGUAACUCUUAAUAAGAGAGCACUUAGUUGCUAACCAUUUUUUAUAUAUUUUACAGUCAUCUUCCUUAAGCAUGCUAUACAUAGGAAAAUAUGAACAUUGAAAUUUUAACAUAUAAGCACACGAAAUAAAUCAUUUAAACUGAGAACGAAACAGCAACAACACAACCCAUAUAAAUCGAACUAUGAGACUAAGUCAUUAACAAAAUAUUUAAAUCCAAAGCUAAGCCAUUCUUUAAACUCAAGGUCUAGUAAAUGAGGGGAAAACAAUUUCUGAUCUGUAUAAAUCUCAAAAGGAUACAAACACAUUUUUUAACAAUCAACAUAUAAUAAUAGCGAACUAAAUAAUAUUAGUUCGAGUAGAAUUUGAGAGAAACUUAAAAGCUUAUAAGAUACAGGGUGCGAAGCUGCUGUAGUGUAUCCGCGAUUAGAGCUUAUAUUUUUUUAAAAAAAUAAUGAUAUGGUCUGUACCAUAUUUUAACUAAAACAAAACAAAUAUUAUAUUCCUUGAACACGUUUUUACAUAGGAAUGCAUACAUAUAUCAAAUGAUCAGAACUUGGAGUAAGAAUUAAUGUAUAUGACCUAAAAUACAACCAUUUCCAUGUAAUAAAUAAAUUUAUAUCUCAAACGAAAACACAAAUACAAUUAUCAAAUAACUUUGAAUACAGUUAAACUAGGCAGGAAUUACUCUCUACAUACAAAUUUGUUAGAGUAACAUAACAUUUUCCCACAGAAACAAAACAGAGGAAGAAAAAGAGAAUGUCACCUGCUAUAGGGCAGUGAACGGGGCUGUUUCGAUCAAAUGUCUAUAUUCGAACAAUAACGAACUCAAGGAAGCUUGAAACUUGAGUUUCGAUCGAGAUUUAAAGAAGGAUGCAAAGACAAUAUUUUAGAAAAGAAAAUAGUAGUUAAACAAUGCUAUGGUGCAAGGAAAAGCUUUUUAAGAAUGAAUGCCAAGGCUUCUAUGGAGGCUGAAAAAUCCUCUUUUUUUUUUUUGCUAAAGAUAUAAGGAUGUAUUUAUAGAAAAAAUUAGGGUUCUUCAUUGUGUUGAGCGGGAAUAGAUUUUGAACUUUCAAAUUAGUCAAAAAGUCUUCAAAUCCGACCGUUUGAAGCUUGAAACAGACAUCACGUGAUACCUUGGAGAAAGAGACAAGUUUUGCUUGGAAUGGACCAAGCAAAGUCUGUCCAUGGCUGAAGAGAAACGAAACUUUAGCCAAAAAUGGAGGAGAAAAGACAGACAUCGAGUAAAGAGAAAAGACCUAAAUGAUUUCGGGUCUUGAGCCAUUUUACUGAUGAAUGAACAUUGGGUUGGGCUGGUGCUAAAUUUUCUUUUGUGGGCUGAUCUGAAAGUUCCGUUGGGCCAUAUUUUGGAGUGGAUUUGGGCUCGUUUUGCUGGACCAAUUUUGGGCUGAAUUUUGAAGGUCUUUUCUCUUCUUUCUUUGUAUUAUUUUGGGCUUCUAAAUUAAUAAUUAAUACAAUAUCUAUUAUGAUAUGAUAACAACUAGAAAUUUACAUAAUAAAAAUAUCACUAAUAUAAAAUAUAUAUACGAAAUAUUAAAUAAUAAUUAAUUUAAUAAAUACGAAACUAGAAAUAAGAUGACGACAAUUGGUUAUUUAAGAAAAGAGAUGUAAAAAAGUGAUAAUAAUCAUUUCGAUAAUAAAAACCUAUAAUUUUAGUAGAUUAAUAGUUGUAAUAGUAAAAAUAGUUGUGAAAAGAGAUAAUUCGAUACAUUAUUAAUUUAGAAGCUUGAAAAUGAUAAAUUAGAAGAAAGGAGGGUCAAAAUUGGGUGUCAACAAUGUUCCCUUUGUUGUUUUCCUAAUAUUGGUAGUUGAGAUAUUGUUAGGAUAUUAUAGUUUUUCGUUGUUACAGGUUGAUCUUGCUUGGAAAAAACCAUGAAAUCAAAAAAUUAGGGCUAUUUUGGGUUUAAAAUUGGGGAAGAUGACAUAAAUUGAUUAUAUAAUUAAUAAUAAAGAAAGCUAAUGACACGUGGCACUUUUAAAUUGGUCCAUGGCAGUGAAAGCACGGAAUGACGCGCCUCACGUGCAUGGUAACAACCCAGACGAGGGAAUGGGUCAAAAUGGCCCAUUUACAAUGAUAUUAAAUAGUUCUGUGGGGUGAUAGGACACUUUGAAAGUUAAGAUGUCUUUAUGCAAAUACGGGACAACUUUGAUUGUGUCUUUAUGUCUUUUCUCUUAAAAAUAUUUAAAUAAUAAUAAUCAAUUUUAAAAAAUAAUUAAAAACCCAUCUUCCUCAACCAUCCCCCUCCCACCCCUCUCUCCUCCGUCUGAACCCCUAAACUCAUCAAAAUACAAUAUUUUAAAUCUCUUUGACCAUUGACCGAACUUAUGUAGCAUUGAUAAUGCAGAGUUGGAAAAUUACGUGAUUACACGCUUUGACAACGAGUAAAUAAGGUAUUUUAAAUUAAAAAUAUUUAAAUAAUAAUAAUCAAUUUUAAAAAAAUAAUUAAAACCCAUCUUUCUCAACCAUCCCUCUCCCAUCCUACCCCACCCCUCUCUCCUUCGUCUGAACCCCUAAACUCAUCAGAACACAAUAUUUUAAACCCCUUUGACCAUUGACCGAACUUAUGUAGCAUUGAUAAUGUUGAGUUGGAAAAUUACGUGAUUACACACGUUUGACAGAGUAAAUAAGAUAUUUUACAUUAAAAAUAUUUAAAUAAUAAUAAUCAAUUUAAAAAGGAUAAUUAAAAAUGCAUCUUCCUCAACCAUCCCUCUCCCACACCACCCUACCCCUCUCUCCUCCGUCCGAACCCCUAAACUCAUCAGAACACAAUAUUUUAAACGCCCUUGACCAUUGACCGAACUUAUGUAGCAUUGAUAAUGUUGAGUUGGAUAAUUAUGUGAUUACACGCGUUGUCAGCGAGUAAUAAGGUAUUUUACAUUAAAAUUAUUUAAAUAAUAAUAAUCAAUUUUAAAAAAUAAUAAUUAAAAACCCAUCUUCCUCAACCAUCCCUCUCCCACCCCACCCCUCUCUCCUCCUAUUUGUUUUUUUUUUUCUAAAAAAAAUUUUGGGCUUUGCCCGAGGAGAUGUAUGGGGUGCAAUUGUCUCUCUUUCAAGUUUAUUAAUAAAAAAAAAUACCACAAUUGUUUUAAAAAAAAAAAAAAAACACCACCCCUCUAUCCUCCGUACCCCCCCCCCUCCCCGCCUCUCCUCUUCUUCUUCUUCUCUUGGAAUUUCAUCCACCACACUCACUCUCCUUCAUCCACCUCCUUCUUAACCCACACUUCUUUUUCAUUACAAAUCAACCGUCCACCCUAACCACUUAGUCUAAAAGUCUUUUAGAUUCUAGCUUUUUAGUCUAAAAGUAUUGAGAUAUUAUUAGUUUUAUUUGGCAUCAAAAAAGAGGUCUAAGUAUGGAUUAACACGAAAGAUAAUGGUGGAUAUUGAAAAAUUAAAACUCCAUUGAUAAGUUAGAGAAAGCUUGAAAUUUAUAAGAUAUAUUAGAACUAUAUAAAAAAAAAUAUCACAUAUACCAAUCAAUUGUGUAUACUACAAACAAUUAUACUUCUCUUUCAAAAUUUAGUUACUCAAUAUUACUUGCAAGUUUUAGUAGCAUCUAUAUCAUUUAAUUUUUUUGUACUAAUUAACACAGGACACACAUGCAACGCACGUGCCUAGAGACUAGUUUAUAUAUGUACAUAAACUUAGAAAAUAUAUCCAAUAUAUACAUCUUAAUUUUUUGUCGAGGGGGUUCGGGUGAACACUCUCCCUCCCUUGAUUGGCUCAUUGAUACUAUUAUUGUUAGUGCAAGAGGAAACUGCUAGGGAAGUUGCCUCUGAUAUAUGUUGGAGCAGAUGGGAUAUAAGAUUUUGAUUUGAUGGGUUCAAUUUUUAGGUUCUUAUCAUUGAGCCCGUUAUACUUUGAAAUUAUGGGUUCAUAUUCUAUUAUUAAUUAAAAUUUUAGUGAUUUUUCACAUAUACUUUUAUGAUCUGUGUCGAAAAUGCAAAUCUUAUACUUAUAUUCGCCAUCCGCCCUGUGUAACUGAACAUAUUACUGUUUGUCUUCCAUGUAACAGUGAUCCUAAAACCAUUCCUUAUUUAUGAUCUGUAACUAUGGUCGUUAUCUGCUAAUAGCUUCGGAUGUUCUUGUCCUCUAGGCUAGUUCUUGGACCUGCAUUAUAAAUUCACUACUACUAUAUCUUUCUUUCUUAUUGCAUUUGGGAUUUGCAGAUUGCUCUUUGUUAUCAAAACAUUGCACAAAUCUCUCAUGUGGUCAUUCACAUAUAACCCCAUUAUUUCAUAUUCUAUAUAAGAAUUAUGUAAUCAAAAAUAAUUUAGCAUCUUAUUUGUAGAUUUUGUUCUGUUAUUGUAACAUAACAAAACUACCUCAUUUGAAUUUCUUGAAAACGGAUGCAUGUAUUGAAUUCUUUCAUGCCACACAUAUUUCUUUAAAUUAUUCCAAACAUAAGUACAACAACAACAACAUAAGUAGUGAUGAAAAAACAAAGUGAACAUAAAAUUGCUAAAGAAACAACUAAGAAAAAGUAAGGGUUGAAUCCAUCUAAUGGAAUCCUGGAGGCCACCUCUUGAUGCUAAUACAAAGCGCUUUCAAUGGUGAUGAAAGAGGAUUAUGGCCAAGAGUGACAAAGAAAUAGUGUAAUCGGAUUUAACUAACCCUAAAGCUAGCUCAUCUCUGUACAAUCUCUUGUAGGGCCCUAUUCAGGUGUGCCACAAUUAUGUUAGCAGCUAUAUAUCUCAUCUUUCUUCAAUUGUGCCUGACAUUGUUUCAUGAACUGGAGUUCCAGGUUCUGUUGUAGAGAACCCUUCAGAAGCAGGGGAUUCUCCUAGGCCAUCGGAGAUUCCGAUUUCUGGGCUUUCCAAAGGUAGGUUGGGCGAUAAUUCAAUAGAAGCAUCACUUUCUGCAAACACUGUAGCCGUUAGGCUUUCAUUCCCUUCAGAUGGCUUUUUUGACAUAGAAUUAGAGUCGUCUCUCUUUAAAUCAAAGACUUUUGCUAUUGCACAAAGCUUUUUUCCUAUUGAAUCAUCAGUGACUAAGAUUUCUCUAUUCUGAUAAAGGAAGAUGAGGAAGAAUAGGAGAAGAGAGGAGCCUGCUGACACACCAUCUUGCUUUGGACAAUCUGUUUCAAUAUCUUUCUGUGGACAAUCUGUUUCAUUCCCAAACCAUUUCUGAAUUAUGUUAUUCAUAGUCUCUCCCUCUAUCACCUUCAAGACUGCUCUUGAGACGUCAGGUACCAAAGGAGAUCCUUUUGGAAAUGCCUGCAACAAGUUGUGGGAAAAUUAAAGAUUAGAUCAUUGAGUAAACCACUAACCACUCUAAAACAAAUGUUAACACUUGCUGAAACAUCAGUUAAGUACAACAAUCUUACAAAUCCAAAGCCGGCAGCCUUGUAUGUCGGACCAACCAUAAUAUACUUCCUGCAGUAUUUGUUCAGCAAGAGUCUGAGAUAAGGUAGUUCAUCAACAAUUGCACCAACACCUCCAUUUUUACUACCUCUUGAGAGUGCAUCAUUAUACUCUUCCAAUGUGCUGUAACUCCUAAAUUUGGAGCUGUCAAAUUUCAUGCGUGUCAAGACGUCUUUGACAAAGGAACCUUUUUUAUCAGCACAAAUCUUGAUAAGUUACUUGUUAUCUUCUCUUCUGCAACAACCAGUCAUAUAUAGGAUUUGUUGAGAAACAAGGAGAAAUCUUAAACUUUUGGUCUAUAAUUUGAUUUGAGUUAGAGACUUACUAUGAGCAAAAACGAGAGUUGAGAAGGAAAACCAAAAUAUUAUCCCAACUUGCUUGCGUUUGGGUCCUCGAAAAUCUUUGUUUACACGAUGUUCGAGUACCCAAACCACAAAACCAAUGAAGACGAAGAAUGCUCCGGUUGCUAUCCACAGCUCGGCCUUUAAAGGUUUCAAGAAGAUCCAAGCGUUCUUCCUAUCAUCAUUCCUUAAAGGCACAACUGCAGAAAUACCCGACUCUGAAUAAGGUAAUGUGAAAUCUACAUACUCAGAUCGGCUUGCUAAAAUGGUAACAUCACCUACAACUGCAUCAUAUUCCUGGUUCAAGCAAACAUUGAUUAUUUAAGUAUUUAUUGUUGGUCGCUAAAGCAGAACAUAGAUAAGAAGUCCAAAAAAGGAGCAUGUAAGUGAGUUAUUCAGCUGAAGAGGUUAAUUUUACCUUAGAAGUGAUCUUCUGAACAAGAUCAUCAUAGUUUUAAGAAGUAGGGCUAUGUGCUAUUGGAAAUAGAAUAAAUUCGUAGGGGACAGCAUAUGGCAAAGAUAGGAUGACUUCUUUGAAGACAUCUGGAACAAAACCAGUUACAAUUACUUCUUGUGUCGUUGGAUUUGUUUCCACUUGAAUGAAUUGCUCCAGCCCGUCAGGAACUCCGACCCUUAACUUCUUCCCACUUGUGGGUAUUUCCCAGCCUCUCGGAACAAUAGUAGAUUCACCAGGCCAAAUGAUGACCCCUAGUUGCUUAUUAUUAGUUUUAGCUGUUUUACCAUUCAUCUUGAGUUUAUGCGAAAUGCCAUCCUUCUCUGUCCAGAAUCCAACGAUUUUCUCUCCUUUCCCAAUUAUAUUCACAAUCUGAUAUGGGGACGGCUGCAGUUCUCUAUCAACGAUACGGAAAUCACCACUUAGUCCUGGUUUUAGCUCUGUGUUUUGCAUAGAGUCAAUGAGCAGAGAUCCCACUUCUGAGGUUCCAAGUGCAUCUAGGUCUGUUAAGUUCUCUCUAGUGUCUGGUUCUUAAUUUUGGGAUAGCAGUAGUGCCCACUUUCUCUACUGCUUCUGCUAAUAAGGUGAUGCUAUCAUAUGCCAUAGCCCGAAAACAUUGAGUUCUACUUGGUCCAUGUCUGGAUAUUCUUGACGAAAUCUCUUUCUCCAUCUCUUGGUGAACAUGUCAAGCGCAUUUGGAGUCCAGAAAACUCGUUAGCACAUCUGUGAUGAUCCAUGCAUAUCCACUGCUCAUCAUCCCAGCUUCUUUGGCCUUGAGGAAAAGGCGUGAGGCAAGAUAUGGUUGUAAGUGCACAAUGAACACUGUGGUUUGCUUUGUAUUCAAAUUGUGUAACUCCUUGAGGAUUUGAUCAUCACUGGCUGAAGGAGAAAUAGCACUUUUAUAGGGGACUAAAGUGUUGAUUUCCAGUAAGGCAUCAGUCAGAUGUGGAACUAUCCCAGUUCCAAUGGAGCUAUCCUCGUGGAUGAUUACAACCUUCGUCCAAUUAUAGUUUUUAACAAUUGCUGCAAUGGCUUUAGUCUGGCUGGAAGAAGGAAGUGCUCCUCUGAUGAAGAAGGGAUUUUCCUUGACUGUAAGUAAAGGACUUGUUGCUGGAGAAAUGAUAGGGACUUUUGUUCUGUUCCCUAUGUCAAUCACAAAAUCAGUUUGUGUAGACAUUUGUGGCCCAAAGAUAGCUUGUACUUGGACAUCCUUUAGCAAGUAUAUGGCUGCGUAUACACAAUCAGACUAUAAGAAAUCGUUCCAAAGUGAAAAACAGACGAAAAGAGAGAAUGAUAUGCUAGUUUAACAGAAGUAAAUCAUGGAUCAGAAUAUACCAGCGGAUGCUGCUUCAACAUCAUCUUUCUUUGAAUCCCUGAUAUGAGGAACUAUCCUUAUGGCACCGCGACUAGUGUUGGCAUGAUAAUCUGCAAGAGCUAGUAAGAUAGAUAUGUGCAUUACUUUUCCCACAUCUGUUUCCAGAUCAAGAAUUAUGCCCACAUCCACCUUUACAGCACUAGUGUUAUUAUCUUCACCUCUUAUUCCAAUUACAUAGUGGCAAAAGCUAAUGAUGGAAACAAGUUGAAUGAAAAUAAUUAGGAAUUUGCAUCUUGGAUUAUGCAUUUGAAAAACUCUUGUAGAAAGUAAUAUGAGUGUUGGGCAAGAAGCAGUUGUGCUUGUGCAAGAUUUAUAACCACCAUUCAGAGAUGUGUUUAAAGGUAUCUUAACUAUAACUUUUCUACAAUUAAAUGAGAGCAAACCUCAUAACUGCAGAAAGAAAAGUCAAAGUUUUCAAAGAAUUACAAAUGGUUUAAAAUAUACUAGUUUGAUUAUUAAAGAAAGAGUACUUUGCACACUUGUUAGACCACAAGCUAGUAAAGCCUCCUCAGUUUUGACCAAAUCAAUAAAUGACUAAAUGAACAUAGUGACAAAAUUGAUUUGUACUCAUUCUCCCAAUACCCAAAGAAGUUUUUGUAUUCAUUGGAUGACUAUCUAGAGGCUACUAAAAGGACUUCCCAUAUUUUGGCUAAGUCAUGUUGAAAGUUGAGUGCUAACUCAGUUACAAAUAAGUAGAAGAGGUCAGUUUCUAUGACUUGGACAUUGGAAAAGGGCAGCUAUGACUAGUAAUCUUUAGUUUACUUAGACGGUUUCAGUUUAGAAUUGGUCAGUAGUAUAAAACUUUAUGGUGGUAGAGGCACAACUUGUAGGGUUGUUCCGGGUUAUCGUUAAUUAAAAAAUCAAAUCAAACUUGUAGGGUUGUUUGGUUAGGUUUUAAAUUUUGAAAAUCAAUACUAUUUGGUUUGGUUUGGUUUUAAAACUGUAAAAAUAAUCAAAUUGAACGUGUAAUUAUAAUAAUUCUAGUAUUGCUUGAUUGAAUCCACAGUAACUUUCAUGUGUAUUGUUCAUGUACUAGGUGUCUGUGUUUAUAUAUAUGUCUUCAAAAAAAUUAUUACUUCCAAAACAAAAAAACAAAAAAAUUGAACCAAACCGACAAUUAUUUUUUUCAUUUGGUUUUAGAAUUUAGAAACCGACUAAAUUGAUCUGGCUUUGAUUUUAGCCAAUAAUCAAUCCAAAUUGAACCAUGAACACCUCUAGGCACAAAUAUAACUUGGUAUGUGAAGAAUUACUAUAAUACCUUUCCUUUAACUUUUUUUUUUUAAAAAAAAAUCUCCAUCCUCCAUUUUUUUCCCUUCACUUUUAAAAAAAAAAAAAAAAACCUCUAUUGGGAAAUUUUUCAAAUCAGUUUUUUUUACUCAUGAGCUCUAUUCCUUUCCCUUUUAUAUUUUUUAUAAUAUAAAAUAUAAGAUAAAAUAAAGAAUUUUUUUAAAAAGAAAUGAGAAAAAAAAUGAUGAAGAUGAGGGGUGAGGAGCUAAAGGAGAGAAGAAAGAUAGAACAUAAGAUGAGAAAGGUAGGGUCCCCAUAUUUUCUUUAUCAAAAAGUAACUUCUUACCUACCAAAGUCAUAUUUAUGCCUCUACCACCACAAAUUUUUUCGUAUUAACUUGCUUGCAAGUUGCAAAACCAAACAAAGCAAGCAUACCCAAAUGGAGAUGGAAUCUUGGAAUGAGGAUGGUUGGGUAUACAUGUAGGUGUCAAUGUCAUUGUCUCAAUAUAUAUAUAUAUAUAUACUCCCUCCGUCCCAAUUUAUGUGGCACCCUUUUUUUUUAGUCUGUUCCAAAAAACAAUGUCAUCUUACUAUAAUUAGAAACAAGGGAAAAGACUCAAAUAUGCUAUUGAAAUUUGAGAAAAGACUCAUUUAUGUCAUCCGUUAAAAGUUUGGUUCAUCUAUGUCAUUUUCGUUUGAGAAAAAACUCAUCCAUACCAUUAGUUGUUAACUAAAAAUAAUUUUGGUUUUGUAAGAUCAUUUUAUACACAUGGUCAAUUAUGAUUCGGCCAUGUCAUCAAUUAAAUCAUUUCUAUAGAAGAGAAAAUGUUCAAAUAUGUCAUCGAACUUUGAGAAAAGACUCAUUUAUGACAUCCGUUAAAAGUUUGUCUCAUCUAUGCUAUUUCAGUUAAUAAAUAAUGGCAUGAAUGAGGUUUUUCUCAAAUGAAAAUGGCAUAGAUGAGCCAAUUUUUUAACGAAUGACAUAUAUGACAUUUCUCAAAGUUCGAUGGCAUAUUUGAGUUUUUUCCCUAUAAACAAUUUCACUUAAAAUUUACUGUUAUCCUUAAUGAAAUUAUUUACAAACACACAAAUAUCUAAGGAUUGUUUUAGAUCACAAGUUUAAAAGUCUUUUUAAAAUAUAUAUAUAUAUAUAUAUAUAUAUUGUGUCAAGUUAAACAGUGCCACAUAAAAUGAGACAGAGAGAGUAAUUGUUAAUGUAAGAGGAAGCUGCUCGGGAAGUUACGUGUAUGAUGUUGAAGUUAUUUGACAUGCAGUUGAGGUGAUCCUAUAAUCUUCCAUUAUUUAUGACUAGUAAAAUCACUGAAUUUAUAAAAUAAUACUUAAAACAUAUGAGUCAUUAAAACUAAAACACUAUAUUAUCUUACAUAUAAGAUUACAUAUAACAAACAUUAAUAAUGUAAGUAAUUUCUUUUUUGCAUAUGUUAACAAAUUUUUGAAUUUCUUCCUGAGACAUAUAUCACAAUUGUAAAAUCUAUACAACUUAAAUGUGUUCUUGUUCUUACGAAACGCCUUUGUGUAUAUAUAUUCUUAUUUAUUCUCUCUUUUUUCCUUUUAAUUGAUGAUUAAAUAACCAUUAAUUUAUUAUUUCCUAAAUAAUUCAUUUAUUAGAUGUUCUUGAGUUAUGUGAUAAUGACAAAUAAUAGUAUAGAUCUUUAAGGAAUUUUUUUACUGUACCUUCAACAAUUUCAUGAUCAGUAGAGAAAACUUGCAUGAAUACUCAAUUAACAUGUGUUGUUUAAUCUGUACUAACAAAUACAAUUAACGUGUGUUGUUUAAUCUGUACUAACAAAUACUUAUAACAAUAACUUUGCAGAAACAUAAACACAAGUUUAAAACAUGUACUCAAAAACAAUAAUUAAUAACAUAAGCAUAAAUUAAUGACUGUAAAAAAAUAUACCAGGAUCUGUAAUAAUAGGAUGAAACAUAAAGGAAAAAAUUGUACACGAAUAUUUAAUUGUGCAGGUUAAGAAGAAGUUCAAAAUUUUCGUUUUUUUAAAAUGAGAGGAAAUCACUCUAUUUAUAGCUAGACAACAAAGGGUAGUGUGAGCAAAUGUUUAUUGUGUCUUAUCGGAAAGGUCACAACUCUUUGGAAAAGUUACAAACCCUUUGGAAAGGUCAUAACCUUUCAUAAAAGACACAACUUUUCAUAAAAGUCGCAACUCUACAUAGAAGUUACAACUUUUCAUAAAAGUCGCAACUGUUCAUAUAAGUCGCAAUUUUUCAUAAAAGUCACAACUUUUCAUUAAAGUCGCAAAUUUUUAUAAAAGGGGAAGGAUAGUUUUGUAAAUAUAUUAAUUAAAAAAGGAAUCCUGGUUUGUGAUGGCGCCACGUAGGCAGGCCUAGGGUUCUCUUUUAUAUAUAUACUAGUUUCUGAACACGUGCGUUGCACGUGUUUCAAACAAGUAGUAUACACGAUAAAAGUUAUAUUAAAACCAUAGUGUAAUCAAUAACGAAAAAAAGGUACAAACUAAAAUUGAUGAACGUAACACUCAUCCAAUUUGAAUGACUUAUUCGUUUAGCGAUAAAUAAUUAAUUACUAUCAGAACUACAAAAUUGAAUAAUUAUAUUUAGUUAGAUAAGUAAAAUGUAUAAAAUGAGUCACAUUUUAAUGUUAUUAGGUGCAAAUAUUUUAUUUAUAAAGAAGUAUUAGUAUUAAAUAUUUGCACCUAAUAACAUUAAGUAUUAAAUUUCAAGACAUAAUAUUUGAAUAAUGAAUUGUGAUGCUCAUACCAAAUAGCAAAACAAUGAAUCUAGAAAAUACUUUUAAAACAAAAAAACUUAGAUAUGAUAUUUAAAAUAUUUAAAACUUCUUGUUAAAAUUUACAAAAACGCAAAUAAUAUAUGCUUAUUAAGAAUUUAAAACUAAUUGUUAUAAUCUUAACAAUUGUGCAUGGAAACAAAAGCACCCAAAACAAAUGAAAUUCCAAUACAUGUGAAAUCAAAGUAUUGUAAUUCUAAGUAACUAAAUAUGCCAUGCAUACUUCUCAUCUCUUCUUUUAUGCAAACUAUUAGAAGGCAUAAAAAAACAAUGAAAAUCGAAGAUAAAAUAAUUUGCAUUCAAUCUUAAAAAGUUACAAAGAGGAGAUGGGGAAAAUUAGUAAAACUCAUUUAACCUUUAUAUAAUGUUUUUCCCAGUCCUUUGAAAUUUCAUUUCAUUUAUUUACUAAUGAAUUGAUUUACUAAUUAAUAUUCAAUUCAACUUUUCAACUUCUUUGUACUUACUGUAGCAAUGAAAGGUUGGCUAUUGGUUAACGUAACAAUUAAAUAAUUGAACCACCAAUGUUUCAUAUAAAGUUAUGGUUAUUAUAAGUAUUAAAUGCAAACAUUUUCUUUUUAUUGUAUGAAAUGCGUGUAUUUGUAUUUUUAUAUUAUAAACUUUUUGAAAUAAUAGUUGCUUGAAGGUUAAAAUGAUGUUUAACUUUUAAUAGGCGAUUUGGUAAUUCAAUUUUUCAUUUGGAAAGUUUCUACUUGAUAUAAUAUGAUAAUGAUCAAAAAUUUAAUAUAAAAUGAAUAAAGCAAAGAAUAAACAGGGAAAGAAAGAAAGAUGAUUGUCAUCAAUCCCUAUUAAAUCAUUGAAUUAAGUGUGAUAAUUAAAGUAUUAUUACUCCACUUUCAAAUCAUCCGUUCAAUUCAUGUUAUUGAAAACUAAUUUAAUUGAAGAUUUAUUUUAAUUAUGGUGUAAAUAAAAAUUAGUUUAUAAAAAAUGAUUUAGUAUAAGGGCAAAAUGGUAAAUCAACUUUGAAGACAAGAGCUUCCCACUUUUAAUAAUACUAGAAGAAAAAUGUGAAUUACAUGGAGAUUUUUUUCUUGGAAUUAGUAUCAAAAUUCGCAGAUAACUUAUUUCCUGCAAAUUUUCAUAUUAAUCCCCAGGAAAAUCCCCAUGUAAUUCACCAUUUUCUUGUAGUGUUGUACCAAAUUAUAAUAAAAUAACAGUAAAGAAAAUAGGUUGUACCCUGCUUCUUGCACUUAACUUUAUCCCACGAACAAUAGACAGAAAGGUGUCAUAUAAUCCUUACAUAUCACUAUCAAACCAAAUUCUCCCAACUGACAUAUUCUCCCACAACAAUAUUAUAUUCCCUCAAGUCCAAUUUUCAUCAGUGACUCCGUUUCUAAUGUUUUCCAAUUCACUUUUUCGACCUCCUUUUCACUAUUCAUUAUAUAAUAAUUGAUAUGAAACAACCCACAAUGUAAACAAGAUUUAAGAGACGUGAUUGAUUUACUUGAGUCGCUCACGUUCUUCUUUCGUUCACGCCGCUUUCUGUUAUUCUUCUUUUCCGUUCUUUCCCUUUUCUUCUACAGAUUAUUUUCACCCUAAUUAUUAUAUGACUAAUUAUAAGAGUGGUGGAAUUGGCUCACUACUAGUUUUAAUGCUAUCUUCUUUAACCACCAACUACAUUAAUUAUUAAAACUACCCCACUAAUUUCAUAAUGUAAUUACGAAUAGUCCAAAAUACCCAUUUAGAAUCUAUCGAACGAGUCUUUUAUGAAAUAAAAAGAUCUAGUACUCAAAACGACUAAAUGGGUCGUUACACAAUGUAACUCUUUAACUUUCAAAAUGAUAGGAGGUGAAAAGGUGAAAACAUUUUCUUUUUCAAUGAAUACAUUCAUUAUACUAAUAAUUCACCAUUUAAUAAACUUCUACCUAAAAAUGUUUUUUAGCAUAAAACAUGUAGGAAGUAAUUUUAAACAGUAAAAGGUAAAGGGUUAAUUAGUUUCUCAUUUAAUUAAUUCGAUUCAUUUAUUAGUAUAGGUAAAUUUAUUAUUUAGUACCAAGUAGUAUAAGAAUAGUAUUAAGAUGAAGGGUAAAAAUGUAAUUUGAUUUUUUAGGAAUAUUUUGUAAUUCAAUUUUAUAAGUUUUGGGGCUUCCCACUUAAUAAUUAUUAUUUAUAAUAAUAAAAAAAAUUUGACUUAACACCUUUCCAUUAUUAUUAUAGAUUAUAGAUGAUAAAUAUUAAUAAAUUAGAUAUUUAAUUAGGAAUUAAUCUUAGGAAGUCUAAAAGUCAUUUAACAUUUUUAAUUUAAAACUUAUACAAUCAAAUAUUUAAAUAUUUUAUAACAAUUUAAUUAAUAGAAGGGGUAAAACUGUAAUUCAACUUUCAACUUUUUUUGUUCAUGCUUAUAGUAAUAUAUAUGAUAUGAUAUAUAUAUAUAUGAUUAUUUACUGUGGUCGUUUUCUGAUAUGAUCACAAUAAGAUAUAACCGUCUAUUAUCUUUUAAACUUGUUUUUCUUUUUAGUUUGCAAUAUAUUUUGGAUUGGUAACAUUAGUAGUAUUAAAUUGUUAACAGCACUAGUUUGCAAUAUUUUUGGUUUCUGCAAACAUUAUUAGCACAUAUUGAAAGAGAUAUAUAUGAUAUGGUUUCAUUGAAUUAUAUCCUCUACAUAAGCAGUGAAGACAAAACAAAGUACUAAUGUUAUUUAAAUUGUCUCUAAAAUUUUGAUGAUUUAAUAAACUUUGAGAUCUAAAGAACGACCAGAUUCCAAGAGAGAUUGAGAGUUCUGUUUAUGAAAAAAACAGCGGUCUAAAAGCAGCAACACCUGCUGUGGUUGGUGCACGUAUUUUGCAGCAGACAUUCAGCCAAUGGCAGGGCAUUGCUUCAAGAGUUUGGGUCCAUCCUAUAAUACACCUCUUUGACAUUGACACAAACUCAAGUUUUUGCAAUAUAAAAAUUCAUAACAGCAAAAGUCAUUCUCUCAAGGAAAUAUUUCUCGAUAAAUGAUAGAGUUAUCAUCGUUCUUAGGUGUUUUUAGGGCUUAUAUUUCUGUGCUUAUACUUGUAAGAUUUAUUCCUACGUUAUAAAGGAAUCAGAUCAUUUGAAGUUUUUUCUGAGUAUUCCGAGUUAUAGCUAGAGUUAGUUAUGUUGUAUUCUUGAAUUCAAGAUCAACUAUAGCUAGUUGAUUUAGUGGGUCAUAGAGUUAUUGCUUAGUUUUUGAGUAACAGAGUUGUUACUAUGAGGGGAAGGGAUUAAGAGUUUAAUUCCUAGGCUACAAGGGUUUGUAAUAUGAAGCUUUGCACUUUUGAUGAUAAUGGAGUUGGGUUAAAUCCUGUGAGACAGACCGUGGUUUUUCCUCCCUUGAACAAGGGGCAUUCCACGUAAAACUCUUGUAUUUGUUUUACUUUGUGUUAUUUAUUUUCCACAAUUUUUCUUUCAAGGGACUUGGUCCAUUGACCAUUAGUGGACGCAUACAUUCUAUGAGUAAUAAUAAGAUUGAAAAAGAAACCACUAAGAAAAAGUAAGGGUUAAAUCCAUCAAAUGGAAUCCUGGAGCCACCUCUUGAUGCUAAUAUUCUGGCCAAGAUCAGUAACAAAGAUAUAAUGUAAUCUGGUUUAACUAACCCUAAAGCUAGCUCAUCUCUGUGCAAUCUCAUAUAGGGCCCUAUUCAGGUGUGUCACAAUUAUGGUAGUAGCUAUAUGUGUCAUCUUUCUUCAAUUGUGUCUGUAAUGGUUUCAUGAACUGGAGUUCCAGGUUCUGUUGUAGAGAACCCUUCAGCAGCAGGGGAUACUCCUAGUCCGUCGGAAAUUCUGAUUUCUGGGAUUUGCGAAGGAAGGUCAGGCAAUAUCUCAGGAGAAGCUUCACUUGCUGCGAGCAGUGUAGGUGCAUUGCUUCCAUUGCUUUCAGAUGGCUCUUCUGACAUAGAAUUAGAGCUGUCUUUCUCUUCAUCAAAGACUUUUGCAAUUGCAGUAAGCUUUUGCCAUAUUGAAUCAUCAGUGGCUAAGAUUUCUCUAUUCUGAUAAAGGAGGAUGAGGAAGAAUAGGAGAAGAGCGGAGCCUGCUGAAACACCAGCUAUGAGGAAAAGUCCCUUAAAACUAUCUAACGUGAGGCUAUCAGAUGUUAUUGCCGUUUCAUCUUUCUGUGGACAAUCUGUUUCAUUCCCAAACCAUUUCUGUAUUAUGUUAUUCAUAAACUCUCCCUCCAUCACCUUCAAGACUGCUCUUGAGACGUCAGGUACCAAAGGAGAUCCUUUUGGAAAUGCCUGCAAUAAAAGAUUAGAUGAUUGAGUAAACAACAAAUCAUUCUAAAUAUAUAUGUUAACAGUGUCUGAAACAUCAGUGGAGUGUACAAUCUUACAAACCCAAAGCCGGCAGCCUUGUAUGUCUGGCCGACCAUAAUAUACUUCCUGCAGUACUUGUUGAGGAAGAGUCUGAGAUAAGGUAGUUCAUCAACAAUUGCACCUACACCUCCAAUUUUUUGCUUCCUCUUGAGAGUGCAUCAUUAUACUCUUCCAAUGUGCUAUAAUUUCUGAACUUGGAGCUGUCAAAUUUCAUGUGCUUUAUGAAGACGUCUUUGACAAAGGAACCUUCUUGGUACCCAACAUAUUCUCCAUUCUUGAUGAGAUCAUUGAGGUCUGUUAUAGUAGGUUGGAGCUGUUGCAGUGUCAACAUAGAUGUUAAGCUGGCUGUAUAACUUGAUGUCAGCACCAGAACCACAAAAACCCACACAAUCAGCAAAAAUCUUGUUAAGUUACUUGUUACCCUCUCUCCUGCAACAACCAGCCAUAUAUAUGAUUUGUUGAGACACAAGGAAAAAUCCUAUAUCUUUCGUAUAUAAUAAUAUGCUUUGAGUUAGUGUCUUACUAUGAGCAAAAACGAGAGUUGAGAAGGAAAACCAAAAUAUCAUCCCAACUUGGUUGCGUUUGGGUCCUCGGAACUCUUUGUUUACACGAUGUUCGAGUACCCAAACCACAAAACCAAUGAAAACGAAGAAUGCUCCAGUUGUUAUCCAAAGCUCGCUCUUUAGAGGUUUCAAGAAAAUCCAAGCAUCCCUCCUAUCAUCAUCCCUUACCGGCACAACUACAGAAAUACCUGACUCUAUAAAAGGUAAUGUGAAAUCCACAUACUCUGACCGGCUCGCUAAAAUGGUCACAUCACCUACAACUGCAUCAUAGUCCUGGCUCAAGCAAACAUUGAUUAUUCCAGUAUGUAUAGUUGAUUGUAAUAGCAGAAAAUAGAUAUCGAAGUCCCAAAAAGGGCCAUGUUAGUAAGAUAUAGAGCCAAAGAGGUUUAUUGGAACAGAGAUUAUAUAUUACCUGAGAGGUGAUCUUGUGAACAAGAUCAUCAUAGUCUGGAAGAGUGAGGGGAUCUUGUAUUGGAAAUGGAAUAAAUUCGUAAGGGAGAGCAUAUGGCAAAGAUAGGAUGACUUCUUUGAAGACAUCUGCACAGAAACCAGUUGCUGUUACUGCUUGUGUUUUUGAAUCUCUUUCCACUUUAAUGAGUUGCUCCAGCCCUCCUUUGAGAGGAACUCCAACCCUUAACUUCUUCCCACUUGUGGGCAUUUCCCAGCCUCUUGGAACAAUAGUUGAUUCACCAGGCCAAAAAAUGGCUCCUAGUUGCUUAUUAUUACACUUAACUGCUGUUUUACCAUUCAUCUUCAGUUUACACGAAAUGCCAUCCCUCUUCGUCCAAAAUCCAAUGUUUUUCUCUCCUUUCCCAAUUAUAUUCACAAUCUGAUAUGGGAUUGGCUGCAGUUCUCCAUUGAUGAUACGGAAAUCACCACUUAAUCCUUGUUUUAGCACUGUGUUUCGCAUAGAGUCAAUGAGCAGAGAUCCCACUGCUGACGUUCCAAGUGCAUCUAAGUCUGUUAAGUUCUCUCUGGUGUCUGGUUUCUUUAAUUUUGGGAUAGCAGUAGUGCCUACUUUAUCUACUGCUUCUGCUAAUGAGGUGAUGCUAUCGUAUGCCCAUAGCCCAAAAACAUUGAGUUCUAUUUGGUCCAUGUCUGGAUACUCUUGACGGAAUCUCUUUCUCCAUCUCUUUGUGUAGUUGUUAAGCUGAUUUGAUCUUGGAAUGUAAGGUUUUAUACCAAGAACACCUUGCAUUGAUGACUCGAUCACUGAAUGAUCUACCAAGUCCAGAAGACUCGUUAGCACAUCUGUGAUGAUCCAUGCAUAUCCACUGCUCAUCAUCCCUGCUUCUUUGGCCUUGAGAAAAAGGCGGGAGGCAAGAUAUGGACGCAAGUGCACGACGAACACCCUUGUUUGCUUUGUAUUCAUAUUGUAUAACUCCUUGAGAAUCUGAUCAUCAUUGGCUGACGGAGAAAUAACACUUCUAUAGGAGACUAAAGUGCUGAUUUCCAGUAAGGCAUCAGUCAAAUGUGGAACUAUCCCGAACCCAUAGGGGCUAUCCUCAUAGAUGACCACAACCUCCCUCCAAUCAAAGUUUUUAACAAGUGCUGCAAUGGCCUUAGUCUGGCUGGAAGAAGGAAGUGCUGCUCUGAUGAAGAAGGGAUUUUCCUUGACUGUAAGUAAAGGACUUGUUGCUGGAGAAAUGAUUGGGACUUUUACUCUGUUCCCUAAGUCGAUCACAAAAUCAGUUUGUGUAGACAUUUGUGGCCCAAAGAUAGCUUGUACUUGGACAUCCUUUAGCAAGUAUAUGGCUGCACAUACACAAUCAGACAAUAAGAAUUUACCCAAAGUAAGAGUUUAAUAGAAGUGAAUCAUGGAACUGAAUUUACCAGCAGAUGUUGCUUCAACAUCAUCUUUCUUGGAAUCCUUGAUAUGAGGAACUAUCCUUAUGGCACCGCGACUAGCGUUGGCAUGAUAAUCUUCAAGUGCUAGUAAGAUAGAUAUGUGCAUUACUUUUCCCACAUCUGUUUCCAGAUCAAGAAUUAUACCCACAUCCACCUUUACAGCACUAGUGUUAUUAUCUUCACCUCUUAUUCGAACCACAUAGUGGUAAAAGCUAAUGAUGGAGAUAAGUUGAAAUGAAAAGAAUUAGAAAAGUGGCAUCUUGGAUUAUGCAUUUGAAAAAACUCUGGUAGCAAGUAGUCUGAGAGAUGGGCAACAAGCAGUUGUGCUUGUGCAAGAUAACCACACAUUCAGAAUGACAAUUUUCCUAUAAUUAAUAAGACCAAACUCCAUAAAUGAAGAAAGAAAAGUCAAAGAACAAAUGGUUGAAAAUCAAGUAUUCGUUUGAUUAUUGAAAGUGAGGACUUUUCACAUAUGCUACAACCGCACAGCUAGUAAGCAUAUUACCCCUCAGGUUUGACUAAAUAAAAAUUUGACAAAAUUGAUUGGUACUCAUUCCCCAACACCCAAUUACUUUUUGUGUGUACUAUCUAGAGGAUAUAUUCAAGGGAACUUACAUGAAUUCAACUAAUUUAGGAGUUAAUUACUUAAAUACAUUGUAGUUUGCAAUAUUACGUAUUUUACUAGAUUUUGGUAUGUCCAGAUACAUUCAGAUACAUAUAUGUGAGGUUACUUAGGAUCAAAAUUAGGUGUAAUUUGCUCUAGAUGCAUUGUAUCUAAGUGACUUUGCAUGUAUCUGGGAUACAUAACAAAUCUCGCUCGCCUCUCUCCCAUCUCUCACUCUCCUAUGUAUCUGAUAUUCCAUAUACAUGUGAAUCACACCAGAUACAUACACAUAAAUGUAUCUUAUGUGUAUAUAGUGUGAUUCGCAUGUAUCUGGGAUACAUAACAAAUCCCGCUUGCCUCUUUCCUCAUCUCGUUCCCCUAUCUUCCUAUUUUUGUGUAUCUGAUGGCAAAAAUUCAUGUAGCCAAAUGUAUUUUCCUCAAUAUAUGAUAGGAAACUCUUAAUUAGUGAUAGUAUACGAAAUAUUUUAAAAGUAUAGAAUAUAAUAGUAUAUAUGAUAGUGAAGUAUGUCUAAUGAUAUAGUUUUUCUGUAUUGAAAGGACUUCCCAAAUUUUGGCUGAGGCAUAAAAAGUUGACAAAUUUAGCUCAGUUACAAAUUCCACAAUUAAACCAAUAAGUAGAAGAGACCAUUGUUUUCCAACUUGGACAAGGCUAGAUACGACUAGUAAUCUUUAGUUUACGCGUUUUCAGUUACUAGUCUUUGGACACGUGCGUUGCACGUAUAUCCCAUAUUAUAUGGUUGCAUAAUAUAUGUCUAUAGUUACAAAUAUAUGUAUAAAAAAAAAUUGAUUGUGAUAUAAAUUGGAAAACAUGUAUAAGAUAAGAAAUCAAAACAGAUACCCUCAAAUUUCAAACUAUAAGCAUAAUAAGAAUAUGUAUUUCUAAUGAGUUUAAUCAAUCAUACCUUGCAAUAAUCUCUGCAAUUCAUUGAGAAACUUUCAAUCCAUACAUCAACAUUCAAUCGUGUAUAUAUAAAGAAAACUUGAAAUGCAUAACAACAAUUAUAUCUAUAUUUUUUAAAACACUAUAAAGUCAUUUUUUCUUUUUGCAUUAUAAUAUGGAUUGCACACAAUUUCUAUUAAAAAAAAGAAAGACAAAAUUAGGAAAAAUCGUAUCAAUAAAUUGGAAUGAAAAAUGUAAAAUUGUAAUAAGAGGAAGAGAAGAAAAAUACAGUAGAAUAUAUUACCUAACCAUGAAUAAGGAAGUAUGUUGAGUAAAAGAAGAGUAAUGCAAAAGUGUGAACUGAUAUAUGGAGGAAAUUGACAAAUAUAAUAAUCUAUAUUGAAUAAUGAAAAACAACUCUUCAAUUUCUGCAAAAAUUUUAUAACUACGAGCUCAAAAUAAUAUAAAUUUAUUAAUUUAAUAAAUGACAUAAAUAAAUAAAUAACAUAUAUUGUGUGUAUGUGUAGUUAAUGGGGUAGUGAAAAAGACUCUUUCUGAAAUUAUUUUUAUCUCUUUAAAGUAAUUUUGAACUUUUGAUAUUAGUGCUAUAGAAAAUCAUAUAAAGUCAUAAGCCACUGCAAGUUUUUAUAGUAAUUAUCUUAUUAAAUUAUAUACCUAUUAUUAUUUUUAAUUAUUUAUAAUCAUUCCGAAAAUGUAUAAAUUAAUUUUGAAAAGCUUGUAAAAUGAGAAAUUAUUAUUUCUUAUCAUUAUUUUAGCUAUUAUUAACAUUUAGUAUGACAACAUUUUAAAAAAGCAGCUUCCUUUAAAUAUUAAUUGUUUCUAAAUUAACAUAGCCAAGAAUUUAAAAUGUUGUGACGUUUUGUUUAUCUAAACACGCAGAAUUUUGUUUUUGAACCUGGAACAUGUAAUUAAGCCUUGGGUGAAUUAUAAUUUUAUUUUUACUAUUUAAUUAAUUAAAUAAUUUGUAACAUUUUAAUAUAAUGAAGGGGUAAAAUGGUAACUCAACUUUAAAGGUUGGAGCUUCCCACUUUUAGUAAUAUAUGAUAAAUUGGUCAGUAGUAGUAACCUAGUUUAAUUUGAUAUAAUAACAUUCAUGACAAAAUAAAUUAAAUAUGGCUAAUUAAGAAAAUAUAAUUAAAUAUGAUUAUCUUUAAUGUUAUUUAAAUUUGUAGGCGAUUUUUUUUGUAUUUUAAAAUUAAAAAAAGGCCAAAAAACCCACAAAAAGAGAUAAAUAGGAUUGAAGCCCUUAGAGAGCGUCACCUCACCGUUUUCAUAUUCAACUUUAUUAUUAUAUAUGGAUUUAGAUUUUUGCACAACCUUAAAUUUAAGGACACAUUUAGAUAUUAUAUCAAACAUUCAUUUAUUUGAAGUUGAAAUUACAUUUUACAUGAAAAUUGGAUAUUCCAUAUUCACAUUGAGUAUGAAUCUUUUUGUUUUUUUUACAAAAUUCAAAAUAAAAAAAUACAAAACAUAAACUUAUAGAUCAAAUUUUACAUUUGACAUUUGAAAGUUUUACUUUUCAUUAAACGUUUUGUUAUAGAAUUUGGAAUCGCCCUUUGAAAUUAGUAUUUAUAAAUGAAAAUAUUGAUCUAGUCCUGUUGAAAUUGUGUCUGGCCUAGUACUUUUUCUUAUUAGAGUGAUUAUUGAAUUAGGUUUAAUAUCAAUUUUCUUAAUUAGUUUUGUCAAUUGGCAGUGCUAAGAAGAUGGGAAUUUACGUUAUAUUAAAUUAUCUUUACAUUAAUAAAAAAAGAAAUUGUUGUUAGUAUUAUUUGUAAUAUAAUUAAACAAAAAUAACAAUGGGAAGAAAAUAAUAAGUAAAGAUUACACGUUGUAUUAAAAUAAUAAGUAUUAAAAAUUAUGAUAAAUUUUAUAAUAGUCAUAACAGGAAUUUACGCAAUAAUUACUAUAUUAGAAUACUAGAAAAAUUGAUAAGUUCCUCGACAUCUAAUCAUUGAUUAAAAUUUAAAUUAUUAUUUUCUUCUGCGAAAGUUUAAGAGAUUAAAUUAAUGUUUUAAAAAAUAAUAUUAAUUAUUUUCAAUGAUUAAUAAGAAAAUGUAUAUAGCAAGUACAUGUAUUAUUAUUACAUUAUUUAUAUCCACUCUAUAUUAAAUCAUUUUUCUAUUAUAGUUUGACGCAAAUUUCAGAAUGUAAAGAAUGUUUUGGAUUCGAAAAAUAAAUAUUCAAAAUAUACUAACAUGUCAUUUAAUCUUAUGAUAUUUUACAUUUCAUGUGAAAAAAAAUUAAAUAUUAAUUUUUUAAUAUGAAAAAUAUUAAUUUAUUAAUACAACAUAAAAGUAAUAAAGGACAAUAUAUAAAAAUAUUUGAAGUAUUUGAUAUUUUAUUAAAUUAAAAUAAUUCUAAAUUAAUAUAUAGCCGCGCAACGCGCGGGUACGUAUACUAGUGAAGAACAAUAAUAAAGAAGAAGACAAUUGAGUUAAUAUUUAUUUUUUCCAAGUUUAAUUUAACACAUGACCAGUUUUUAUUGGUCAGUGCUGUCAAAAAGUUGCACCCACGCGCCUAAAAUAGGUGAAAUCACGGACUCAGCCACGUAGGCCAAAAAGUGGUAAACAAUUAACUAAAAAAUAAGUUCAGGGGGGUAAUAGGACUUUAGUAAAGGUUAGGUGUGUCUCAGGGAUUUUGGGCAUAGGCUGGGGGGGUACUUAUGCAUUUUCCCUUAUGUUAAAUAUACCAAAAUGUUUUUUAAUCUUAUGACUUUAAACAUGUCACGUGAAAAACUGAAAUUAAAGUGUUGCCAAAAAAAGAAGGGUCAUUUUUUUUAAACAGACUAAACAGAAAAGUAGAUCUUUUUAAAACGGAAGGGAAGUAAUUGUUAAUGCAAGAGGAAGCUGCUUGAAAAGUUACGUAUAUGAUGUUGAAGUUGUCUAACAUGCAAUGCUGGUCCUAUAAUCUUUCAUUAUUUAUUAUCCAUGACUAUGGGUGGAUAAUAAUAGUUAUCUGCUAUGAUCAUAUAUACCUAGGGGUGGACAUAUUACUUAGAAAACUUAUGUUAGGUAAUUUUGAUUUCUAAAAAUACUAUAUGGUGUAUGCUAUUUGCAGAUGAUAGUCCUAAUCGACCAGACUCGUAAUAGAGUUAAUGUUAAGCUAGAGAAGAUAAUAAUGGCUCCCUUCUCAAAUAUUUCAUUGGUAGAAAUUUGCCUUCCAGAAUUUCAUAAUUGCAUCUGAUCCUUUCUGAUAACUCAAAGGGCAUCUUAAAUUGGUGCGGAAGUUUAAUUUUGACAUGGAACGCAAAUAUAUGCGGAAAAUUAGUAAUUCAAUAAAUAUUUAAUUAUGAAUGCAUAUUACAAAAGUGCAAGGAAUUCAAUUGUAAGAUGUUGAAGGUUAAACCCAUAAAUUCUAAAUACUAGAGACGCCUCUUAAUGCAAAUAUAAUAUGGUUUAACUAUUUUAAACCUGGCUCAUCUCUCUUAAGUUGUCCCUGUAAUGUUUUCAUGAACUGGAGUUCCAGGUUCUGUUGUAGAGAACCCUUCAAGUGCAGGGGAUGCUCCUAAGCCGUCGGAAAUUCUGAUUUCUGGGCUUUGCAAAGGAAGGUGGGGCAAUAUUUCAGUAGAGGCUUCACUUUCUGCAAACAGCAUAGCUGUUUGGAUUUCAUUGCCUUCAGAUGGCUCUUCUGACAUAGAAUUAGAGUUGUCUCUCUCUUUAUCAAAGGCAUUUGCUAUUGCAGAAAGCUUUUGCCAUACUGAAUCAUCAGUGGCUAAGAUUUCUCUAUUCUGAUAAAGGAAGAUGAGGAAGAAUAGGAGAAGAGCGGAGCCCGCUGAUACACCAGCUAUGAGGAAAAGGCCCUUAAAACUAUCGAGCAUGAGGCUAGAUGCUAUAGCCAUUCCAUCUUGCUUUGGACAAUCUGUUUCAUUCCCAAACCAUUUCUGUAUUAUGUUAUUCAUAAACUCUCCUUCCAUCACCUGCAAGACUGCUCUUGAGACGUCAGGUACCAAAGGAGAUCCUUUUGGAAAUGCCUGCCAGAAGUUGGGGGAAAAUAAAAGAUUAAAUUAUUGAGUAGAACAUAAACCAUUCUAAACAAAUGUAAACACGUUCUGAAACAUCACUGGAGUGCAACAUUCUUACGAAUCCAAAGCCAGCAGCCUUGUAUGUCGGACCGACCAUAAUAUACUUCCUGCAAUACUUGUUGAGGAAGAGUCUGAGAUAAGGUAGUUCAUCAACAAUUGCACCAACACCUCCAUUUUUACUUCCUCUUGAGAGGGCAUUACUAUACUCUUCCAAUGUGCUAUAACUUAUGAACUUGGAACUGUCAAACUUCAUGUGCUUCAAGACAUCUUUGACAAAGGAACCUUCUUGGUACCCAACAUAUUCUCCAUUCUUGAUCAGAUCAUUGAGGUCAGUUAUAGAAGGUUGGAGCUGUUGCACUGUCAACAUAGAUGUUAAGUUGGCUGUAUAACUUGAUGUCAGCACCAGAACCACGAAAACCCACACAAUCAGCACAAAUCUUGUGAAGUUACUAGUAACCCUCUCUCCUGAAACAACCAGCCAUAUAUAUGAUUUGUUGAGAAACAAGGAUAAAUCCUAAAGCUUUUUGUAUAUAAUUUGCUUUGUGUUAGAGACUUACUAUGAGCAAAAACGAGAGUUGAGAAGGAAAACCAGAAUAUCAUCCCAACUUGCUUGUGUUUGGGUCCUCGAAACUCUUUGUUUACACGAUGUUCAAGUACCCAAACCACAAAACCAAUGAAGAUGAAGAAUCCUCCUGUUGUUAUCCAAAGCUCGCUCUUUAGAGGUUUCAAGAAAAUCCAAGCAUUCUUUCUAUCAUCAUUCUUUACCGACACAACAGCAGAAAUACCGGACUCUGAAAAAGGUAAUGUGAAAUCCACAUACUUGGCUCGGCUCGCUAAAAUGGUCACAUCACCUACAACUGCAUCAUAUUCCUGGUUCAAGCAAACAACGAUUAUUUUAGUAUAUAUGGUUGAUCUCAGUCAAAGAAGAAAGUAGAUAUGGAAGUCCCGGAAAGGAGCAUGUAAGGUAUUCAGCCAAAAAGGUUAAUUCAAAAAAGAAUUGGAUAUUACCUUUGAGGAGAUCUUGUAAACAAGAUCAUCAUAGUCUUGAGAAGUGGGGCUAACUAUUGGAAAUGGAAUAAAUUCGUAAGGGAUGGCGUAUGGCAAAGAUUGGAUAACUUCUUUGAAGACAUCUGGAAUGAAACCAGUUGCAGUUACUGCUUGUGUUUUGGCAUCUAUUUCCACUUUAAUGAAUUGCUCCAGCCCUCCUUUGACAGGAACUCCAACCCUCAACUUCUUCCCACUUGUGGGUAUUUCCCAGCCUCUCGGAACAAUAAUAGAUUCACCAGGCCAAAUGAUGGCCGCUAGUUGCUCAUUCAUACUCUUAGCUGUUUUACUAUUCAUCUUCAGUUUAUGCGAAAUGCCAUCCUUCUCGGUCCAGAAUCCAAUGCUUCUCUCUCCUUUCCCAAUUAUAUUCACAAUCUCAUAUGUGUAUAGCUGCAAUUCUCCAUCAAUGAUACGGAAUUCACCACUUAGUCCUGUUUUUGGCUUUGUAUUUCGCAUAGAGUCAAGGAGCAGAGAUCCAAAUUCUGAGGUUCCAAGUGCAUCUAAGUCCGUUAAAUUCUCUCUAGUGUCUGCUUUCUUGAAUUUUGGGAUGAUGGUAGUGCCCACUUUUGCUAUUGCUUUUGUUAAUGCGGUGAUGCUAUCAUAUGCCCAUAGCCCGUAAACAUUGAGUUCAACUGGGUCCAUGUCUGGAUACUCUUGACGGAAUCUCUUUCUCCAUCUCCUCGUGUAAUUGUUAAGCUCAUUUGAUCUUGGAAUAUAAGGUUUUAUACCAAGAACACCUUGCAUUGAUGACUCAAUUACUGAAGUAUCUACCAGGUCCAGAAGACUCGUUAGCACAUCUGUGAUGAUCCAUGCAUAUCCACUGUUCAUCAUCCCGGUUUCUUUGGCCUUGAGGAAAAGGCGGGAGGCAAGAUGUUCUUGCAAGUGCACAAUGAACACCCUGGUCUGCAUUGUCUUCAACUUGUAUAGCUCCCUGAGGAUUUGAUCAUCAUUGGCUGAAGGAGAAAUACCACUUCUAUAGGAGACUAAAGUAUUGAUUUCCAGCAAGGCAUCAGUCAAAUAUGGAAGUAUCCCGGUUCCAUAGGGGCUUUCCUCAUAGAUUACUACAACCUCCCUCCAAUUAUAGUUUUUAACAAUUGCUGCAAUGGCUUUAGUCUGACUGGAAGAAGGAAGUGCGCCUCUGAUGAAGAAGGGAUUUUCCUUGACUGAAAGUGAAGGACUAGUUGCUGGAGAUAUUAUAGGAACUUUAACUCUGUUCCCCAAGUCGAUCACAAAAUCAGUUUGUGUAGACAUUUGUGGCCCAAAGAUAGCUUGCACUUGGACAUCCUUUAGCAAGUAUAUGGCUGCACAUACACAAUCAGACUAUAAGAAAUUGUCUGAACAUCUCUUUUUCAAAAUAGGAAAAGUAAUAUCUUAGAGAAAAAGUGAAUCUUUUGAAGCAAAGAGAGAAAAAUAAUCCUAGUUUAACAUAAGUAAAGCUUAGAGCUGAAUUUUACCAGCUGAUGCUGCUUCAACAUCAUCUUUCUUUGAAUCCCUGAUAUGAGGAACUAUCCUUAUGGCACCGCGACUAGUGUUGGCAUGAUAAUCUGCAAGAGCUAGUAAGAUAGAUAUGUGCAUUACUUUUCCCACAUCUGUUUCCAGAUCAAGAAUUAUGCCCACAUCCACCUUUACAGCACUAGUGUUAUUAUCUUCACCUCUUAUUCCAAUUACAUAGUGGCAAAAGCUAAUGAUGGAAACAAGUUGAAUGAAAAUAAUUAGGAAUUUGCAUCUUGGAUUAUGCAUUUGAAAAACUCUUGUAGAAAGUAAUAUGAGUGUUGGGCAAGAAGCAGUUGUGCUUGUGCAAGAUUUAUAACCACCAUUCAGAGAUGUGUUUAAAGGUAUCUUAACUAUAACUUUUCUACAAUUAAAUGAGACCAAACCUCAUAACUGCAGAAAGAAAAGUCAAAGUUUUCAAAGAAUUACAAAUGGUUUAAAAUAUACUAGUUUGAUUAUUAAAGAAAGAGGACUUUUCACACUUGUUAGACCACAAGCUAGUAAAGCCUCCUCAGUUUUGACCAAAUCAAUAAAUGACUAAAUGAACAUAGUGACAAAAUUGAUUUGUACUCAUUCUCCCAAUACCCAAAGAAGUUUUUGUAUUCAUUGGAUGACUAUCUAGAGGCUACUAAAAGGACUUCCCAUAUUUUGGCUAAGUCAUGUUGAAAGUUGAGUGCUAGCUCAGUUACAAAUAAGUAGAAGAGGUCAGUUUCUAUGACUUGGACAUUGGAAAAGGGCAGCUAUGACUAGUAAUCUUUAGUUUACUUAGACGGUUCAGUUUAGAAUUGGUCAGUAGUAUAAAACUUUAUGGUGGUAGAGGCACAACUUGUAGGGUUGUUCCGGGUUAUCGUUAAAAAAUCAAAUCAAACUUGUAGGGUUGUUUGGUUAGGUUUUAAAUUUUGAAAAUCAACACUAUUUGGUUUGGUUUGGUUUUAAAACUGUAAAAAUAACCAAAUUGAACGUGUAAUUAUAAUAAUUGCUUGAUUGAAUCCACAGUAACUUUCAUGUGUAUUGUUCAUGUACUAGGUGUCUGUGUUUAUAUGUCUUCAAAAAAAUUAUUACUUCCAAAACAAAAAAACAAAAAAAAUUGAACCAAACCGACAAUUAUUUUUUUAUUUGGUUUUAGAAUUUAGAAACCGACUAAAUUGAUCUGGCUUUGAUUUUAGCCAAUAAUCAAUCCAAAUCGAACCAUGAACACCUCUAGGCACAAAUAUAACUUGGUAUGUGAAGGAUUACUAUAAUACCUUUCCUUCAACUUUUUUUUAAAAAAAAAAAACCUCUAUUGGUAAAUUUUUCAAAUCAGUUUUUUUUACUCAUGAGCUCUAUUCCUUUCCCUUUUAUAUUUUUUAUAAUAUAAAAUAUAAGAUAAAAUAAAGAAUUUUUUUAAAAAGAAAUGAGAAAAAAAAUGAUGAAGAUGAGGGGUGAGGAGCUAAAGGAGAGAAGAAAGAUAGAACAUAAGAUGAGAAAGGUAGGGUCCCCAUAUUUUCUUUAUCAAAAAGUAAUUUCUUACCUACCAAAGUCAUAUUUAUGCCUCUACCACCACAAAUUUUUUCGUAUUAACUUGCUUGCAAGUUGCAAAACCAAACAAAGCAAGCAUACCCAAAUGGAGAUGGAAUCUUGGAAUGAGGAUGGUUGGGUAUACAUGUAGGUUUCAAUGUCAUUAUCUCAAUAUAUAUAUACUAGAGGGGCAUGGCCCGUGCUAAGCACGGGCCCAACAUAAACAUAGUUAGUCUAUUAUUCUCUAUAUAGGCAAAAUAUUGUUGGAAACUAUUCACUUAUAUAAGUAACUAAUUCAAGUUAUGUGUUUGUUAACAAAGUUUAUUCAUUCAAGCAUCUGCAAACUAUACACCAUACCAAACCACCAAUAAAGAAAAAGACAUGAAAUGUUAACACAAAUUAAACAACUUCAAAAGAAAGAAAGAAAAGAAGAAGAAUCAAGGAGGUGAAAGAACAUUAAAAUUUUGCAGUCUUAUCAGUCAAAUUCUAGUGGUGUCACAACUUUCACAGGGACCAUCAACUCUUCAACUUUUUGUACAUAUUUGCUUUUCAGUGCCAAUAAAUUAUUAUCUGUCGUUCCUGCAAGUUUUUGGAAAAAGUGUAUCAACAAUUGAUGCUAAAGAUCAUAUACUUUGUUUUGUAUUUUAUUUUACCAAGUAAAAAAGUCAGUAAUUGAUAUACCUAAUUUACUGCACUUAAGACAUUCUAGCUUCUAAAUCUAAUAAAACAAUACUAAUGAACACUUUUAAAUAAAUGAAAGAUGAUGGUACCUAAGGGAUGGAGUAAAUGAAUCAUGUGAAGUAAGCAAAUUGAAGUCAAAGUGAAUGUGUCAAUUACGUGGCCAUUAUAUCAAAUAUUUGUCAAUUCUAACCAAAAAGAAAUUGUUAGACAGUAAAUUUGUAAAACUUUAUAGAAAAUGACCUUUUAUUUUGUCUAUUUUGCCCUUUCAUGUGCUCCUUCAUGUCGCUUCCCCUUUCCAUUUUGUCGUCCCUCUCAUCUCAAUUCCCGUUUUGUUGUCCUCUCUUCCCAAUACUAUUUUUAUCCAGCUUGAUCUGGAAAAGAGGUAACUGACAUAUUAGUGUACUUAAUUUGGAACAAAAUCACUUGGAGAACAAUAAAGUAGGUAAUAAACACGAACAAUACUUAGACUCUGAAGUCUUGGUGAUAGUUAAGUAGUAGAAUGAGGAAGAGAUUAUACAAAUCAAUAGAGUUCAAACAACAACAUAUCUUAUCAAAUCUUAUCACUACCUCGUGGAGGUAGAGGUACUCUUUCCGAAAGAUCAAAUCACUGAUCUCGAUAGUUAUUGUUGAGUAGUUAAUACAUAAAUCUCUCCAGAGUAACAAAAAAAGGGCAGAUAGGGAUUAAAAGAAAUUAAGAAAAUGAAAUACGAUGCUACAUUUCUCAAGAGUUAAAAAGAGGGACAACCAAUUUGAGUAGUAGAUUCAGGUUGAUGGUGAUCUACUAUACAACUAAAUGGUGCAACAACUCAAAAUCUCAAGGAAAACAAAUCAAGACAUUCUUGCAAAUUAAAGGCACUAAUAAAACUGCGGCAGAAAUUCUCGUGACUGUGUGGUUCUAUAUGGAAAAUGACUUCCACAUGCUUGGUCUUAGCAAUACGCCAUGUGCACAAGGAAAAAUAUAUUAUAACCACGCGUUUCUUGUUACCGAUAAACAUGACUUAUGAGAAAGUCAGUUUUUAAGAGAAUUCGAAGAACAACAGGAUAAGAAACUACCCUUUCAUUUACUUUCUCAAACACUUAAUAAGGCUUCCGUUUUUUCAACAUUCUUGCAGAGUUGAUUGUGGAGAUCAACAAUUCAUCCAUUUGACCAUUAUCACUUGUAGACACACUAAACUGACAAAGAGUCUUAUAUCAGGGGUGUAUAAAUGAAAACCCCUUCUUUUCAUAUCUAUUUGAAUUGAUUAAACUUGUCGCACAACAAAUAGGAUCAACGUUUUCAGUAAUCAAAGGAAAGAAAAAAAUCUACAUCAAAGGCAUGUUAUAUGAAGUAUGUGAAAUAAGGAUUGUAGAAACGAAGGAGAAAUAAAGAUUUGAUUAGCUUACCAUUCAAAGUAAUUGUAGACAAACAAAGAAGAAGUGAAUAUUUGAUCACCGCUUACCGUUCAACUCAACUGUAGACAAACGAAGAAGAAGUGAUUGACCCUUAAUUUGGAAUCAAUUGAUUUUUUACUAUAUCUCGAUAAAAAAUUUAAUUUAUGUAACUCAUUUCUAUAUAAACAACCAAGAUGCUUAGAACAUACAUAACAUAUUCAAUGUGGCUUACUUCUAUAAAAAUCAUAAAUAAAAUAUAAAGGAAAGCUUCAAACUCUACCUAAUUAGUUCAUAUGAUCAGCAAAAUCCAAAAAACUUGAAAAAAGAAACAAAUUUGUACUCUCUUGCAGAAAUAAGUUUUGUCUUUUGGAAACAACCUCUCUAUCUCCACGAAGUAGGGGUAACAGUCUACGUACACUCUACCUCCUCAAACCUCACUUAUGGGAACUACACUGGGUAUGUUGAUGUUGUUGUUGUUGAAAUAAGCACAAAAGACUGGACUCUCACUAAAACUUCCGUAAAGAUCAAAUUCUUAAGUUUCAUUCUGCAACUAAAAAUCCCGAAAAUGAAGAAUCAGAUUACUCACAUUGACAAAAGUGGGGUAAAAAAUAACUUGAGCUUUGCUAUUCAAAACAUCAACAACUUCUUCAAUCCCAGAAAGUCUUUUAAUUGCCUUUAAAUGCCUAGCACUAUUUUUUUAAGAAGAAAUUACUGAACAACCUUAGUGAAAAUUCCAAAUUCGCCAUUGCAUCCAACCCCCGUCCCAUCCCUGGACUAUCCUACACCAGCUACCCUUAAAUCCUCACCCAUCCAUCCCAUUGAGUUUUGCUGGAUUACAACGGCCCCCAUCCCAUCCCUUGACUAUCCUAUACAAAAUGGAAAAUCUCUUCUCCAAGGAGUUAGGAGACAAUAAUCGACAUAACUAUGUCAUCUUAUAUAGGGACAAAAUGAAUACAAUCUCACCCUGUGGUCUUCGAAUCUAUAGUAGACAAACGGUAAGUAAAGAGAUAUUGUAUAACUGCACCAACUAUUCAUUAUUUCUGAAGUAAUACAGUGAGUGCAUCACAUGUUAAAGAAAUAAAAUUAAGUUUAUUACUUUUAUUCAUGAACAUGUACAACUCUUGAGAUGAACUUUAAUUUGUCAGUAAACUAUAAAAUAGAGGUAAUUUGUAAAGGCUUAAGCCUAUUGGAUUAGAUUAUGUUCUCCGUGGGGGCAGUUUUUCUUCAACUCCAAAACUGUAUACGUCACUUCUGGUGGUUAUAUGAUUUACAUAUGAGAGGCGACAAUUAGAAGCUGAGAAAAGAAAUGAUCUCAGGUUACAUGACAGAACAAACCAAGUAAUGUUACACUCCCAAUUUCUUUCAGGACACAUAGUAUUGAUAUUUGCGAGCAUGAAAGACUGAAGGAUUAAACAGAGGAGAUAACUCUUAAGAGAGACCUCAUCAAGAACUUAAGAAAAUUUGUGUGAUAAUUUAACAAAUUUAGCGAGGCUAAUUGAUGAAGGAAGUCUAUUCACACUAUAUUCAUUUUAGUGCACUUAUUGACUAAAUGUUUCCCAAGUUCGAAUGUGAGGCCUCUAUUUGAGGAUGUAAUAAAACAACAUUUACCAUUAGAACUAAUUGAGCAGCUUGUGUUAACCCUCUGUAUUUACCUGACGAAUAUGCUUUAAGGUGGAGGAAUUUUUUGCAGUAGUCUUCUAUUAAAACAUCAUUUAAGCUACCUAAAUGAAUGGACAACAUGUAGUUUUUCGACGCAGAAACAAAAAAUCUACCUAACAAAGAGACAGAUAUAUCAAAGAAGCCACAGGUCGAUAAUCAGAGUGUCCUAAAGAGUUACAUUUACAAAAGUUGAGGAGACUGGACACGCUGUCAAAUUAACUCAACACUGAUGCUGCAUUGAAAGUGAGAGUCCAUGUAAUGUGGAUACAAUUCAUUAAGUACACACAAAACAGUCAGCAACUAAUUUCAGUGAUGUGCAACAAAAUUCAUAUAACAUAGCCACCAAGUUGACCAUAAAAUCCAUCAAAACACAUUAAUGAGGAAUUCGUCUUACUUCAGUUUUGAAUUCCCCCGGCUUUUAAGUAUACAAGCCACAUUUUUACUGAAUUUUCUCUUCAAGUGCAGUAAAGUAGCUCAAAGAACAGAAAGCAAAGUUACAACUGACAACUACAUCGAGAAAGAGGCUACUAUGGACUGUCAAUUUUUACAUGUGAAUCCAAAAAUUAAGCUCGCAUAACAACGGGUAAUAUACCAAAUUCAUAUUAAAUUUUAGAUCAAACAACAUCAUUUAUCAUGCCAAAACAGUCUAGCUGUGCAACUUUUAAGCAAUUUGGAUACACUUAUAUCUAAAAAUUGGCUAAACUAUUGAUAAACGUACUAUCUAAUGCUGGAAAUAUGACAUAGUACAGUGAAUAUUGAUCAAUUUACUACCAUCGCUGCAUUUUGAUACUCCUUGAACAGAGAAACGGAUGGAAAUGGACCAGCCAAGCUACGCCUAAUUACACCAUCUCUAUCUUUUAACUACUUUUGUACUUGGCUUCCGAUUGACGCUCAGCUCAGGUAAAGCACAAGAACAAUUAGGAGUAAAUUGAAAUUGUAUAUUACCAGUGGUCAUAUACUCGGGAGUAGCACAACUGAAUUGUAUGGACAAAUCAUAAGAGGGCAACAGAAAUAUUGUUAAAACUUGUAGAAGACUAAAUUUUAAAGUAGUUUUAGAUACAGCAGCCAGCAAAAUGUUAGAUGAUUUGAAAUCCUGAUACAUAAUUUUAGCUUCUGGGCUGUGGAGAUAUGUCAGUCCUUUAGCUGCCUUGAGAGUAACCUUCAUUCGGAGAUUCUAUGAUAGCGGUUGGAAAUAAGCACUCCUCUGUUCAAGAUGUACCAAAGGUUUAUUCAAUGACAUUACACGGAUAAUAUUAGUGGAUGUCCUCAAAUUAGAUGUGGAUUCAAGAUUUCAAGUUUAUGGAUUUCUAUAAUGAACUAAGUUCAUAGUAAAAUAAAUUUCUUAUACAUGGUUUAGAAAAAACAAUUGGGUCCCCAUGAAUCUACAUAUCAUAUUGUGGAUCUGUUCUUGCGUUAAAUAUGCAGUUAUGGUUUCAUACAAACUAUACUUACUUCUGAAUAGAUGAUUUUCCAAACUUCCCCUCGGCAUGAAUUCGCACACCAGAAUCUUGUGUUCAUCUUCUAACCUGGCUCAGGUAAGCAAUUUUCGCCUGUAGUUUAAGUGUACAGAGAAAACAGUUAAUCAACUUAUCAAGAUCAAGAAUUAUAGGAAAGCUUCAAUGUCUUUGAUAAAACAAUCAUCGGAUAUUUUAAAGGGAAGAGUUUAUAUACCAAUCAUUCCUUGUGACCUUGAAAGCUUUCUUCAAGAAUUUCACUUUGACUUUGAGGAGUCAACUGAGCCGAUAAAUAUGAAUGUGAUCAUGGAAAUGAUGCCUAAUUAAUAUGUAUCUUUGUAUGUCUUCUGUCUGUUCCUAGUAAAAGUUGCACCAGUUUACAUCAAUUAAGUAAUAAACUGAAUAAGUUAUAACAUGACUAUCUUAUAGCUUAUUUCAAACUGAACACGUACAUCUUCAUUACGUUUUUUAAAAUUUAGUAGAAAUAGAAAUGUAUAAUGGUACCUGAUAAGCAAAUCAAAUUCGUGACUAUCUUCUUGGCUCAUUCGUUAUGGAUGAACUUGAAGUUUCAUAAUGAACUUACUUUCAGCAGGGUUAUAAGCAUCCAGAUCAUAAAAUUCUUCAGGGGCAAAUGGUAUAGGAACAAAUCUCUGAGCCAAUUUUGUAAUUCCCUCAAGGCGGUAACUAUUGAUUGAAAUCUGCAUUUUUCCAUAGCUUUCAGAUAAAUGAAUAAGAUGUGUUAAAAAUGGAGAUUGUUUGCUAUUUAUAUACCGAAACUUGCACUCUAUGAAAAAUAAAUAACUUAUCUUACAAAGAAUUCUUCAUGUUCAAAGAAAGUCUCCCGUGUCAUAUAAGCAAAUUAUAGUUUAUGUUUAUCUACAUAUACAUAUGUUAGUAUUCAACAUUAUAAUUCAACUGCAUAUCCAACUGGAAAAUUAAAUCAACUAAAGAGGGAGAAAUACUGGACUUUCCACAUAUGAGAAAGGGUUGUGAAAAUAGGGUAACUCUAAUAGCUAAUCCUUCCAGUUGAAAGUGUUUUUGAGAAAAAAAAUCAAAUUAAGUUCGAUGUACCUGAUAACGCUCAAUGUUCCCUGCAUGGCAUCUUCUCAAUUUCUUUCCUUUCCUUUCUUCUCCAAGUACUUGUAAAGUCCUAUUUAUGAAAAAUUAACAAAUUGAAAAAACACCCACAUCAAGAACAAAAGCGGAAGAAACACUACAUUUCAAUAAUCAAAAGCACAAAAAAUUGAAAUACAAAGCGGGACAACGGAGAAGAAGAGGAGUAAACGACCAUAACAACAACAUCCAAUCAAGUUUAGAUUCAGUACAUGCAACAUUACCACAACCUAAACACCAAAAUUGAUGAAUAAAAAAAAGUCGGAACUCAUCAAAUGAAAAAAUCGACAAAACAGAUCUAAAGUCAAAAGGCAAAACAAAAAUGAGAAGAAAGAAGGAAGGGAAGAAGCAGUGCAUACCUAGGAAGGUAUGCAAUUUAACUGAGAAUUUCAUAUGAGGGCUUGCAAAACCCUUCCAUUUUGCAGAGCAUUUUUUCUUGGGACAGAGAAUGGAUGCAGAGGAACAGGGAUAUAUCACAUAGCUAGGACACGUGUUUCACAGAUGAAUAUACAGAUACACAUUAGUUAGAAAGCAAUGAGUCAAAUUACCAAAUUAACCCUAUUGGUACAAUUAACUUGAAUUUUGGUACAACUUGUAUAUGUUGUGUUAGUCCGAACUCUUGUUGGCUGUAGAAGGACACGUGUAGCCCACGUGUUUAUUCAAUAGUGAAUAGGGCUUAAUGGUACAGUACAAUUUUUUAUACUAUUGGUACAACUUUGUAGAGCUGUGUUGGUACUCUUCUUGUUGGCUUAUAUAUAAGGGUAAAGAGCUGUGUUGGUACUCUUCUUGUUGGCUUAUAUAUAAGGGUAAAGAGCUGUGUUGGUACUCUUCUUGUUGGCUUAUAUAUAAGGGUAAAGAGCUGUGUUGGUACUCUUCUUGUUGGCUUAUAUAUAAGGGUAAAGAGCUGUGUUGGUACUCUUCUUGUUGGCUUAUAUAUAAGGGUAAUAUAUAUACUCCCUCCGUCCCAAUUUAUGUGGCACCCUUUAUUUAUAGUCUGUUCCAAAAAACAAUGUCAUCUUACUAUAAUUAGAAACAAGGGAAAAGACUCAAAUAUGUUAUUGAAAUUUGAGAAAAGACUCAUUUAUGUCGUCCGUUAAAAGUUUGGUUCAUCUAUGUCAUUUUCGUUUGAGAAAAAACUCAUCCAUAUCAUUAGUUGUAAACUAAAAAUAAUUUUGGUUUUGUAAGAUCAUUUUAUACACGUGGUCAAUUAUGAUUUGGCCAUGUCAUCAAUUAAAUCAUUUCUAUAGAAGAGAAAAGGUUCAAAUAUGUCAUCGAACUUUGAGAAAAACUCAUUUAUAACAUCCGUUAAAAGUUUGUCUCAUCUAUGCUAUUUCAGUUAAUAAAUAAUGGCAUGAAUGAGGUUUUUCUCAAAUGAAAAUGGCAUAGAUGAGCCAAUUUUUUAACGAAUGACAUAUAUGACCUUUCUCAAAGUUCGAUGGCAUAUUUGAGUUUUUUCACUAGAAACAAUUUCAUUUAAAAUUCACUGUUAUCCUUAAUGAAAUUAUUUACAAACACACAAAUAUCUAAGGAUUGUUUUAAAUCACAAGUUUAAAAGUCUUUUUUUAAAAAAAUAAAUAUAUCGUGUCAAGUUAAACAAUGCCACAUAAAAUGAGACGGAGAGAGUAAUUGUUAAUGCAAGAGGAAGCUGCUCGGGAAGUUACGUGUAUGAUGUUGAAGUUAUUUGACAUGCAAUUGAGGUGAUCCUAUAAUCUUCCAGUAGUUAUGACUAGUAAAAUCACUCAAUUUAUAAAAUAAUACUUAAAAUAUAUGAGUCAUUAAAACUAAAACACUAUAUUAUCUUACAUAUAAGAUUACAUAUAACAAACAUUAAUAAUGUAAGUAAAAAAAAAUUUGAAUAUGUUAACAAAUUUUUGAAUUUUUUCCUCAGACAUAUAUCACAAUUGUAAAAUCUAUGCAACUUAAAUGUGUUCUUGUUCUUACGAAACGCCUUUGUGUAUAUAUAUUCUUAUUUUAUUCUCUCUUUUUUUCCUUUUAAUGAUGAUUAAAUAACCAUUAAUUUAUUAUUUCCUGAAUAAUUCAUUCAUUAGAUGUUCUUGAGUUUAUGUGAUAAUGACAAAUAAUAGUAUAGAUUCUUUUAAGGAAUUUUUUACUGUACCUUCAACAAUUUCAUGAUCAGUAGAGAAAACUUGCAUGAAUACUCAAUUAACAUGUGUUGUUUAAUCUGUACUAACAAAUACUUAAAACAAUAACUUUGUAGAAACAUAAACACAAGUUUAAAACAUGUACUCAAAAACAAUAAUUAAUAACAUAAGCAUAAAUUAAUGAUUGUAAAAAAAUAUACCAGGAUCUGUAAUAAUAGGAUGAAACAGAAAGGAAAAAACUGUACACGAAUAUUUAAUUGUGCAGAUUAAGAAGAAGAAGUUCAAAAUUUUCGUUUUUUUAAAAUGAGAGGAAAUCACUCUAUUUAUAGCUAGACAACAAAGGGUAGUGUGAACAAAUGUUUAUUGUGCCUUAUCGAAAAGGUCACAACUCUUUGGAAAAGUUACAACUGUUUGGAAAGGUCAUAACCUUUCAUAAAAGACACAACUUUUCAUAAAAGUCGCAACUCUACAUAGAAGUUACAACUUUUCAUAAAAGUCGCAACUGUUCAUAUAAGUCGCAACUUUUCAUAAAAGUCACAACUUUUCAUUAAAGUAGCAAAUUUUUAUGAAAGGGGAAGGAUAGUUUUGUAAAUAUAUUAAUUAAAAAAGGAAUCAUGGUUUGUGAUGGCGCCACGUAGGCAGGCCUAGGAUUCUCUUUUAUAUAUAUAUAUGAUAUAUGAUAUGAUUAUUUACUGUGGUCGUUUUCUGAUAUGAUCACAAUAAGAUAUAACCGUCUAUUAUCUUUUAAACUUGUUUUUCUUUUUAGUUUGCAAUAUAUUUUGGAUUGGUAACAUUAGUAGUAUUAAAUUGUUAACAGCACUAGUUUGCAAUAUUUUUGGUUUCUACAAACAUUAUUUGCACAUAUUGAAAGAAAUAUAUAUGAUAUGGUUUCAUUGAAUUAUAUCCUCUACAUAAGCAGUGAAGACAAACAAAGUACUAAUGUUAUUUAAAUUGUCUCUAAAAUUUUGAUGAUUUAACAAACUUUGAGAUCUAACGAACGACCAGAUUCCAAGAGAGAUUGAGAGUUCCGUUUAUGAAAAAAACAGCGGUCUAAAAGCUGCAACACCUGCUGUGGUUGGUGCACGUAUUUUGCAGCAGACAUUCAGCCAAUAGCAGGGCAUUGCUUCAAGAGUUUGGGUCCAUCCUAUAAUACACCUCUUUGACAUUGACACAAACUCAAGUUUUUGCAAUAUAAAAAUUCACAACAGCAAAAGUCAUUCUCUCAGGGAAAUAUUUCUCGAUAAAUGAUAGAGUUAUCAUCGUUCUUAUGUGUUUUUAGGGCUUAUAUUUCUGUGCUUAUACUUGUAAGAUCUAUUCCUACGUUAUAAAGGAAUUAGAUCAUUUGAAGUUUUUUCUGAGUAUUCCGAGUUAUAUCUAGAGUUAGUUAUGUUGUAUUCUUGAAUUCUAGAUCAACUAUAGCUAGUUGAUUUAGUGGGUCAUAGAGUUAUUGCUUAGUUUUUGAGUAACAGAGUUGUUACUAUGAGGGGAAGGGAUUAAGAGUUUAAUUCCUAGGUUACAAGAGUUUGUAAUCUGAAGCUUUGCACUUUUGAUGAUAAUGGAGUUGGGUUAAAUCCUGUGAGACAGACCGUGGUUUUUUCCUCCCUUGAACAAGGGGCUUUCCACGUAAAACUCUUGUAUUUGUUUUAAUUUGUGUUAUUUAUUUUCCACACAAUUUUUCUUUCAAGGGACUUGGUCCAUUGACCGUUAGUGGACGCAUACAUUCUAUGAGUACUAAUAAGAUUGAAAAAGAAACCACUAAGAAAAAGUUAGGGUUAAAUCCAUCAAAUGGAAUCCUGGAGCCACCUCUUGAUGCUAAUAUUCUGGCCAAGAUCAGUAACAAAGAUAUAAUGUAAUCUGGUUUAACUAACCCUAAAGCUAGCUCAUCUCUGUGCAAUCUCAUAUAGGGCCCUAUUCAGGUGUGUCACAAUUAUGGUAGUAGCUAUAUGUGUCAUCUUUCUUCAAUUGUGUCUGUAAUGGUUUCAUGAACUGGAGUUCCAGGUUCUGUUGUAGAGAACCCUUCAGCAGCAGGGGAUGCUCCUAGUCCGUCGGAAAUUCUGAUUUCUGGGAUUUGCAAAGGAAGGUCAGGCAAUAUCUCAGGAGAAGCUUCACUUGCUGCGAGCAAUUUAGGUGCAUUGCUUUCAGAUGGCUUUUCUGACAUAGAAUUAGAGUUGUCUUUCUCUUCAUCAAAGACUUUUGCAAUUGCUGUAAGCUUCUGCCAUAUUGAAUCAUCAGUGGCUAAGAUUUCUCUAUUCUGAUUAAGGAAGUUGAGGAAGAAUAGGAGAAGAGCGAAGCCUGCUGAUACACCAGCUAUGAGGAAAAGUCCCUUAAACCUAUCUAACGUGAGGCUAUCAGAUGUUAUAGCCGUUUCAUCUUUCUGUGGACAAUCUGUUUCAUUCCCAAACCAUUUCUGUAUUAUGUUAUUCAUGAACUCUCCUUCCAUCACCUUCAAGACUGCUCUUGAGACGUCAGGUACCAAAGGAGAUCCUUUUGGAAAUGCCUGCAAUAAAAGAUUAGAUGAUUGAGUAAACAACAAAUCAUUCUAAAUAUAUGUUAACAGUGUCUGAAACAUCAGUGGAGUGUACAAUCUUACAAACCCAAAACCGGCAGCCUUGUAUGUCUGGCCGACCAUAACAUACUUCCUGCAGUACUUGUUGAGGAAGAGUCUGAGAUAAGGUAGUUCAUCAACAAUUGCACCUACACCUCCAUUUUUGCUUCCUCUUGAGAGGGCUUCAUCAUAUUCUUUCAAUGUGAUAUAACUUCUGAACUUGGAGCUGUCAAAUUUCAUGCGCUUUAUGAAGACAUCUUUGACAAAGGAACCUUCUUGGUACCCAACAUAUUCUCCAUUCUUGAUGAGAUCAUUGAGGUCUGUUAUAGUAGGUUGGAGCUGUUGCAGUGUCAACAUAGAUGUUAAGCUGGCUGUAUAACUUGAUGUCAGCACCAGAACCACAAAAACCCACACAAUCAGCAAAAAUCUUGUUAAGUUACUUGUUACCCUCUCUCCUGCAACAACCAGCCAUAACAUAUUCUCCAUUCUUGAUGAGAUCAUUGAGGUCUGUUAUAGUAGGUUGAAGCUGUUGCACUGUUAACAUAGAUGUUAAGCUGGCUGUAUAACUUGAUGUCAGCACCAGAACCACAAAAACCCACACAAUCAGCAAAAAUCUUGUUAAGUUACUUGUUACCCUCUCGGCUCGCUAAAAUGGUCACAUCACCUACAACUGCAUCAUAGUCCUGGCUCAAGCAAACAUUGAUUAUUCCAGUAUGUAUAGUUGAUUGUAAUAGCAGAAAAUAGAUAUCGAAGUCCCAAAAAGGACCAUGUUAGUAAGAUAUAGAGCCAAAGAGGUUUAUUGGAACAGAGAUUAUAUAUUACCUGAGAAGUGAUCUUGUGAACAAGAUCAUCAUAGUAUGGAAGAGUGAGGGGAUCUUGUAUUGGAGAUGGAAUAAAUUCGUAAGGGAGAGCAUAUGGCAAAGAUAGGAUGACUUCUUUGAAGACAUCUGCACAGAAACCAGUUGCUGUUACUGCUUGUGUUUUUGAAUCUCUUUCCACUUUAAUGAGUUGCUCCAGCCCUCCUUUGAGAGGAACUCCAACCCUUAACUUCUUCCCACUUGUGGGCAUUUCCCAGCCUCUUGGAACAAUAGUUGAUUCACCAGGCCAAAAAAUGGUUCCUAGUUGCUCAUUAUUACACUUAACUGCUGUUUUACCACUGUUUUACUAUUCAUCUUCAGUUUAUGCGAAAUGCCAUCCUUCUCUGUCCAGAAUCCAACGCUUCUCUCUCCUUUCCCAAUUAUAUUCACAAUCUGAUAUGGGAUUGGCUGCAGUUCUCCAUUGAUGAUACGGAAAUCACCACUUAAUCCUUGUUUUAGCACUGUGUUUCGCAUAGAGUCAAUGAGCAGAGAUCCCACUGCUGACGUUCCAAGUGCAUCUAAGUCUGUUAAGUUCUCUCUGGUGUCUGGUUUCUUUAAUUUUGGGAUAGCAGUAGUGCCCACUUUAUCUAUUGCUUCUGCUAAUGAGGUGAUGCUAUCGUAUGCCCAUAGCCCGAAAACAUUGAGUUCUAUUUGGUCCAUGUCUGGAUACUCUUGACGGAAUCUCUUUCUCCAUCUUUUCGUGUAAUUGUUAAGCUGAUUUGAUCUUGGAAUAUAAGGUUUUAUACCAAGAACACCUUGCAUUGAUGACUCAAUGACUGAAUGAUCUACUGAGUCCAGAAGACUCGUUAGCACAUCUGUGAUGAUCCAUGCAUAUCCACUGCUCAUCAUCCCGGCUUCUUUGGCCUUGAGAAAAAGGCGGGAGGCAAGAUAUGGUCGCAAGUGCACGACGAACACCCUGGUCUGCUUUGUAUUCAUAUUGUAUAACUCCUUGAGAAUUUGAUCAUCAUUGGCUGACGGAGAAAUAACACUUCUAUAGGAGACUAAAGUGCUGAUUUCCAGUAAGGCAUCAGUCAAAUGUGGAACUAUCCCGAACCCAUAGGGGCUAUCCUCAUAGAUGACCACAACCUCUCUCCAAUCAAAUUUUUUAACAAGUGCUGCAAUGGCCUUAGUCUGGCUGGAAGAAGGCAGUGCUGCUCUGAUGAAGAAGGGAUUUUCCUUGACUGUAAGUAAAGGACUUGUUGCUGGAGAAAUUAUAGGGACUUUUGUUCUGUUCCCUAAGUCAAUCACAAAAUCAGUUUGUGUUGACAUUUGUGGCCCAAAAAUAGCUUGUACUUGGACAUCCUUUAGCAAGUAUAUGGCUGCACAUACACAAUCAGACAAUAAGAAUUUACCCAAAGUAAGAGUUUAAUAGAAGUGAAUCAUGGAACUGAAUUUACCAGCAGAUGUUGCUUCAACAUCAUCUUUCUUGGAAUCCUUGAUAUGAGGAACUAUCCUUAUGGCACCGCGACUAGUGUUGGCAUGAUAAUCUUCAAGUGCUAGUAAGAUAGAUAUGUGCAUUACUUUUCCCUACAUCUGUUUCCUAGAUCAAGAAUUAUACCCACAUCCACCUUUACAGCACUAGUGUUAUUAUCUUCACCUCUUAUUGGAAUUACAUAGUGGUAAAAGCUAAUGAUGGAGAUAAGUUGAAUGAAAAGAAUUAGAAAGUGGCAUCUUGGAUUAUGCAUUUGAAAAAACUCUGGUAGCAAGUAGUCUGAGAGAUGGGCAACAAGCAGUUGUGCUUGUGCAAGAUAACCACACAUUCAGAAUGAUAAAUUUUCCUAUAAUUAAUAAGACCAAACUCCAUAAAUGCAGAAACAAAAGUCAAAGAACAAAUGGUUGAAAAUCAAGUAUUCG
rnacentral:lncRNA from 1 species